rnacentral:lncRNA from 1 species
GGCCACCCCUUAAACCCAUUCUCUCUGGGUUCACUAAGAGUCGUGGCUGUCCAGUACGUUUCUCGCCCAAGAAGAACUUCCACUUCUUCAAGCCUCCCUCUUCCACGAUCACAUACUUUGCAGGUUCAGUUGAGAAGUCAAUGGAGAAGGCUUCCCCGUUACGACCAAGUAGGAGAAGUGUGUCUUCACAAGCCACCAAAUUUCCGGAAAGCACGUACGGGUCCAUAUAAUCUCUGCAAUCAAGUCUUAGUAGCUCAACAUGAAACUGAGGUGUCAAAUGCACGGUGUAUAGUUUUUGACGCAUCCUCAUAAUGACCCCACCUUUGAAGGACACCAUCUCCUUGAUCAAAUGUGCAUUUAGAAAAUCGCAGUGCAACCAAGAGGGGCUCCCAACUCGCCAAGCAUACAGGCAGUGCGGGCUGCUGAAAAAUAGAUAUGAAUCUGGUGACGCCUCUGGAGAUAUGAAGGUUCUGUAGCAUAGUUGACUCAAUGGAAAAGGUGGAGCUGCAACCGUAGUGCCAGUGAGCACGUCCAUAAUGACAAGGGAUCUCUCGUAGCAGAAAAUAGCAUGACCAUAAGAACAUUUGACGACUGCCAUUUUGUCCAAAAUACUUGGAGGGGUCAAGCGACACAACGGAGUACUUGGAUAUACAGGAUCAAUGAGCUCCCAUGUGUUUCCAAUGUUAGAGCCAGCUGAGCUUGUCUGGUCAGCACAGUUCCGGAAAAUAACAGGUGGGAAGAGCUCGCCUAAGGUAGAUUUGAUUGACAUGAAUGCGGCAUACCAGCUAGGGCAGGUGGCGAUGAAUGCAAGAAGGUCACGAGUUGAACCCAACAGGACAAUGAUGGAGUGCAAUAAUCCAUGUGGUAGGUCCGCCCAGCCUUCGGGUCCAAACAUGACACGGUGCACGGAGAUGGGGGUGUCGGAGCUCCGGUUGAUAUUUUGCAUGAUAUCAGCUUCAAAUUCUGCAUUAAGGAUCAUGAAAGGACAACAAUUUUAGCAAUGGACCUGAGUUAACUAUAUAAUAUAAAUUGCUAUCACUAUUUUUAUUAAAUUGGUACUGCUACUGCUAUGAUAAUUAUACAAACACAAUAAAAAUGUUUGUAGAAACUAUAAACAUAAUACACAGUAGAGCAAAGACUACACUAUUGCCAUCGAAAUGUGCAUCUGCCUCAAGAAAAUUCGAUCACGAUAAAAUUCAUCAACAGUUGAAAAGGAAAGGCAAGUUCUGUAUUUUUCUUUCCACCGAAUGUUAUUUAUAUGUGUUGCGCAACAGGUUUGACUCUUGUCUCCAGGUCGAUUCCGGGCCCACAGAUACGCGAUAAAUUUCAUCAACAUUUGAAAUUAAAAAGUGCAAGCAAUAUUGAAAUUCUAAGAUUGUUCUACACUGAUAGUGGUAAACCCUUGAACUAUUUCAUAUUUUCAUAUAGUAUAAACACAACAGGAUCGCACAUCCACCAACAACACAUACACUCAGAUCCCCAAAUCAUCAAUGGCAGAGUCAGGCUACCAAGAACAAAAGUGCGAUGAACGCGUCAGAGGAGGUUGCCCACAAUGGGGGGAUGACGGGCCAAGGAAGAUGAUCCUGGGCAGCCUUGCGCGGUUGAGAACUCUGUCUGAUCAUGGACCGUGGCACCGGUCAGCAAAUAUAUAUACUCGGCCAACCCACGAGACCAUGUCCUACAUGGAAAUUGACUUAACCUAGAUCACAUCGUAUACUACAUAUUUGGACUCAAGCUUGACGCGAACACGUGAACUCCUACUAGUACAUGUACAUGACUUUGGUUAGUCCCCAAAGAAAUAAAGCCACGUGACAUGCAAGCACCAAGUACAUCAUGUUCCAAACAAAACAAUCAAGAUUAUGCUAACACUAGCGUCGGCCACUGCACCACCAAUGGCUGUCAUGGGUUCCCAACUCCAGUAGGAGGUGGGCAAGGUCUCGUCCACGAUACCGGCAAUCACUCCAAAGCUGCUUGUAUGUACAACUCAGAGCAAGGGGGUAGAACUCGACAUCAACUUGGUUCCUUCCCUUGCCAGGGCUGAACCCGGAGGGCGGAGGUGAUUCAAGGCCAGGCCUCCUCCAUGAGUCCGGCAGCCAGCAAGGAAAAUGAAGUGGGCGAAGUCAACCUCAACAAGGCUCCUCCCCUACCCCUGGAGCCAGUAACAUGAAAGCCAAGCACCACAAAGAUAAGAAUAGCACAAGGGUAAGUGUCGGUGUCAAAACUGGCGGAUCUCGGGUAGGGGGUCCCGAACUGUGCGUCUAGGCGGAUGGUAACAGGAGACAAGGGACAUAAUGUUUUUACCCAGGUUCGGGCCCUCUCGAUGGAGGUAAUACCCUACUCCUGCUUGAUUAAUAUUGAUGAUAUGGGUAGUACAAGAGUAGAUCUACCACGAGAUCAAGGAGGCUAAACCCUAGAAGCUAGCCUAUGGUAUGAUUGUUGUUCUGUCCUACGGACUAAAACCCUCCGGUUUAUAUAUACACCGGAUAGGUUAGGGUUACACAGAGUCGGUUACAAUGGUAGGAGAUCUACAUAUCCGUAUCGCCAAGCUUGCCUUCCACGCCAAGGAAAGUCCCAUCCGGACACGGGACGAAGUCUUCAAUCUUGUAUCUUCAUAGUCUUGGAGUCCGGCCGUGACGAUAGUCCGGCUAUCCGGACACCCCCUAGUCCGGGACUCCCUCGGUAGCCCCUGAACCAGGCUUCAAUGACGACGAGUCCGGCGCGCAUAUUGUCUUCGGCAUUGCAAGGCAGGUUCCUCCUCCGAAUACUUCAUAGAAGGUUUUGAACACAAGGAUAGUGUCCGGCUCUGCAAAACAAGUUCCACAUAACACCGUAGAGAGAAUAAUUUUUGCACAGAUCUGCUGACGUAUUCCGCGGCGUGACAUCACACCACGGCCAGGCCUUUAUAUGAAUCGUUUUUACUGUUCCACCUCAGCGUGUUUAGCGAGGCAGUUUCCUUGGCACGUCUUAUCAAGGCGUAGAUCGCGCCCCCUUAUUCCGGGAUUCUCAUCAAUACGGACGUGGGUAACCCAACCGUGCCCAUUGGCCUGCCUCCUCUAUCAAAGGCGAGUCCUAAUCGACCACGGGGUGGGCUCUUGGUAUUCAACCUCUUUAUAAUAAGACCAAGGCCCUCUUCUUUUUACACCCUCCAUCGAGUUCGCCUUGCGCUUCGAGUUCCAACACCCAAAGCUUCAGAUUCGGGCGCUUCGGACUUUCAAAGAUAUCCGGAUCCGACCAGCACGGCCGAUGGAUGUCUUCCUCCGUCACAGAAGAAGACAUGCUAAAACUGCGCGACGCCAGGUAUCUAACCGGCGAGAUCUCGCAUAGGCUGCCUGCUCCAGGGUAGGUCAUUCCCACUCCUGAGCCCGGCGAGAACGUGGUGUUCGUGUCCCACUUCCUUCGGGGUUUAGGCUUCCCGACGGAUCCCUUUGUGCAGGGGCUCAUGUUUUAUUAUGCGCUUGAUUUCCAUGACUUGAAUCCGGAGUCCAUCCUCCAUAUCUCGUCAUUCAUUGUCGUAUGUGAGGCCUUCCUCCAUAUUACCCCCCACUUUGGAUUGUGGCUCAAGACCUUCAAGGUGGAGCCAAAGAUGAUCGAGGGGCAACAAGCAGAGUGCGGAGGGGCGGCCAUAAGCAAAUGUGCUGAUGCUCCAUGGCCCGAGGGCUCUUUUCAAGAGGAGCUUGGUUUGUGGCAACGGGAGUGGUUUUAUAUCACCGCUCCCAGGGGCACCAAAUGGGAGCCGCUCCCUGCCUUCCACUCAGGUCCACCACAGCGGCUGGCAUCAUGGGUCAACAAGGGGCUUGAUUGGGGGCUGUAUUCGAGACCUCCAGGAAAGAGGAAUCAACCUGGUUGCAGUGGCGCAGGUUAUGGUGAUCCGGCGCCUUCAGCCCUGCAAACGUCACCCCCUCCGCCUGUGGGAAUUCAAUCUGGAGGGACCACGAGCUCUCCAAAACUUUAUGGGCACGACGCCCAUGGAGAUGUAUAGACUGUUCUUCGGAUCACAAGAGAAGUGUCCGGACUUGACCGAGGACGCAGGACUAAGCUGCAAUCGCCCGGAUACUCAAGUAAGUAGUCCUGUAACCGGACAAGCUGUUUAUUCAUUUAUUUUAUAUAUGUGCCCUUUAAAGGAGCCGUUUCUUGCACAGGAAUGGAUAGCCAAGGCAAAGUUAAUAAGGUGUCCGGCUCCCCUCCCAGAGACCACGCUGGAUCCCAUGCUGACCAAGAUGUUGAAGGUCGCGCCUUUUGAAGAAGGCGAAGGGGGGAGCGGGAAGGCAACUACCUCUAUGAAGGAGGCUAUCAAGGAAGGAGGGAUUAAGAGUCCCACCUUCCGAGGAGAGAAGAGGACCGCUUCGGAAGAUCCGGAGGUCAAGGCCUCAAAGAGGGGAAAGGGAUCUUCGGCAAAGAGUCCGGCGCUGGGAAGUAACCCAGGCGCAUUAUUCCCCCAAGGGGAUCAGCCCUCCAGCGGGCCGUAAGUAAAAAGAAGGGGUCUUGUAAAUAAGGAACAUCCCUGUAUUUAUUCAUGAAGAUAACCGAAAUUGUACCUUGUAGUUCGGACCUCAGCCCUUCUCAGCAGAGCUCGUCUUCGCGGGAUCUUCUUCCGGAGAUGAUGGAGAGCGAAACGCCUCCACUUGUCGCACCCUCAUGUGAAGCGGACGACCCGGAGGUGUCGUCGCGGAGGGUUCCCCCAAGUCCGGCGGGGCCGGAAGGUCCGGCGCCAAGUGGUGUGCGGUCGGAGGAGCUGAAGGAUCUGCUCGGGCGAGCGUCUAUUUCAGAGGAUCACCGUGCUCUAAUGGGUGUGGUGAUUGAAAGAAUUGCAUCCGCGGAGAGCGGAUUGCAUGAAGCCGUCAGAAGCUUACUGACGGGGUUUGAGGUACGCAAAAAUGAUGUACCUUUUGACAGUUAUGCACAUAAAAUGCGCCCUGUAUAGAUAGUAGCCCCUGAGACUCGGUAUGUUGUCAAAAUUGACAACGUGCCGAGGAUCAAAUUCUCAGUUAUAACAUAUCGCUGCUCCUAAACAGGUGGCGGGGCGUCCGAAGGCCAGCCGGACUGAUGAAUAUGCCGAGCUAAAGCGGCGACUUGACGAGGCGGAUGCGGACAUCGCACUGGUCAAUAAACGGUUUGACGAGUCACAAGGUAUGCGACUUCUAUGCGGACACCUGGUGAGGGGGCCUGACGCCCAUGUCUUAUUAUUCGUAUGCUUAAUGUGGAUGGUGCUGCUACCGUGGAGGAGCUGCGGGCGGAACUCGCCCGAGCAAAAGAGCAAGCCCGGGUCUGUAAUGCGGCUGCUUUAAAGGCAGCCGAAGAGCUAGAAGCCGAACGGGCUGCUCACUGCCGAAGCAAAGAGGAAAUGGCCGAUAUGGCCAAAAAGUUAAGGAAUACUACCGAUCGCUACGAGGUUCUUGAAAAAGAACGUCAAGCGGAACAAGAGGGCCUAAAAAGGCCGCCGCCGAAUCCAAGAAUGCCCAAGCGGCUUUGAGAGCUGCCAAGGAGGAGCUGAGUCAGGCCGGGGCAAUUGCGGCUGGAAAACCGUUUCUGCUGCAGAGAAAAUACACAGAUCCAAAGUAUGCUCAAUUGGAUAAGUUGUGGAGUUCGGAGGAUUCUUAUCUGGACGCGGCGAGCGCUGCGGACGCGGUUGAGCACUUCCGGGGCCAGAAGGGGCACAGAAGGGAAGAGCUAUAUUGGUCUCAAUUCCAUAGUCCGGAGCGUCCUCUGUCGCUGACCGAUCAGUUGGCCGAAUGGGCCGAGCUGAAUCGGUUGUCCGGCUUUGCCAUGAAGCAUGUCCUGACUCACUUGUGGCCGGGCGAACCCCAGCCGAAGAGCUAUUUUGGUUUAGUGCAGCAGUUCCUUGGUGCGGUACCGCGUAUCGACGAAAUAAAGCAAUCAACGUGUAUUGAGGGAGCGCGGAUGGCUCUUGCCCGUGUCAAGACAUACUGGGCAGAGAUGAAGGCCACCGAUGUUGCAUCCCAAGACUCGGACAGAAGCCGAGUACCUGCCGAGCACUACUUUGAAGAAGUCCUACCGGGCGCUCGUUUAAUAGAGACGCAGUGCUCGAAGGAUAUUAUGUUUUAGAUGACAUGUAUGAUUUGUGAAAAUGAUGUUUCAAUAUAAUAUAAGAGCUUUUUAUACUUGUGCGGUCAAGUAGUAAACUACUCCCUGUGCGGCCGUUUAUGUAUAUUUGUAUAUAACCUGAAAGAUGGCAGUCCUUGGCUUCAGCCCCCACGCACAUAGUGCGGGGGUGUUUGCAAAGAAAGCGUUUUUUCACACUUAAUCCAACGUCUUGGUCCUAUUAAGGAGGUGAUAGUGUAGCAAACCAGGCAACCGAACUAUAAUGCUUUAUCACUUUCACUUAGCCAUAGGAGUUCGAGGGUGGGGCUACGAUAUAGCCCCUGGGGGCACCGCACUCUCCCGAAUUCGGGGUGCGUAUGUGCCUGACAGAAAACCGGUCCUUCGUUAAUGCGGAGGAAUCCUAAACAUUCCUGUGAGUCAUCGAGUGGUUGACCAGUCUCUCGCUAUAUCAUGACAGUCAGUUUUUGGCUUUCUCUACUGAGGUGCUCGCCCGGCCGAACCGGGGCACAAUCGUAGUAGUUCUCCUGGUGUCGCGUUAGCCGUGAAAACGGAACGUAAGGCAGCAAAACACAGGAGCCGGGCAACCCAACAUUUGACCAAAGACAUGAUUCGGAGCUGAUGCAUAUAAGGCCUAACUCGAGACGCCGAAUACUCCCUAAGGUAUUCGGUCUUUAUGAAAAUGGGCAGAAUAAUGCCCUAAGCCCCUGAUGUCCAGGUACGCGCAAAAAUUCUGGUGCGGUCAAUGCCAAAACGCCAGCCUCCUCCUCGGUUAUAAUAAGGAACCGGGGGAUGUAUAUCAACAAGAGACAGUAAAAAAGGUUUACGUAGGGUCUUAAUCUGAAAAGAAUCCUUGCAACGGGUCCCUACUGCACGUCUGCGCAUGUGUCUCUGUUGUGCCGUAUCCUGGACGGGUGUAGCACGUUGUUCAUCAGUAAAAGAGAGGAACUUAGUUUAAAAGAAAAAAAGAUUCGUGCAAAAGAUGUACUUAAUAUUAAAUAAACAGAGUAUGGUUCGAAGAAAAAGUUGAGCUUUAUUGUCUCUUGUUACACAUGCAUGUAGCCCCUCGUAUGGGGGUGUGCCGCUAGUAGGCACCGAACUCGUCUAGCCGUGUCCGAGUUUUGGAUGACCAAUUCAGGUUCUUUGCCUAGCAGAGCCGGAUAGCUUUGGGGCUGUCAAGGCAGUCUCCCGUUCUUCCGUGCUCGAGUAACACUUAAUACUUCCUUUUAGCGAGAUGAUGCCGCAUGGACCGGACAUUUUAAGUGUUAGAGAUGCAUAAUGUGGUAUUGUGUUAAAGCGGGCGAAAGCUUCGCGUCCCAAUAGUGCUUGAUGGCUACUUUUAAACGGGGCGAUAUGGAAGAGUAACCUUUCGGGACGGAAGUUGUCGGAUGAACCGAACACAACUUCUAGCAGGAUGGAGCCCGUACAAUGGGCAUAUGGUCCUGGCAUUACUCCUUUAAAGGAGGUGUUGCUACGACGGAUUUUGGUUGGGUUUAUCCCCAUCCUGCGGAUUGUAUCCUGAUAUAUCAGGUUUAUGUCACUGCCGCCAUCCAUGAGGACUCGCGUAAAUUGGAAUCCAUCGAUUAUAGGAUCCGAUAUCAGGGCAGUCCAUCCUGCGUUCCAGAUAUUUUCGGAAUAGUCAUGAUGGUCGAAGGUGAUUGGUUUUGACAACCAGUGUGCGGCGUGCCUUUUAGUGGGUGCCGCUCUGUUUUCCCUUUGAUCACGUGAAGUGAGUUUACUAUUUUAACCUCUUGUGGGAAAGUCUUUUGUUUUCCGGGGCUCUGCUUGUGGUGCUCGUCGUCAUCUUCACUUGGUGUGUCGAGCCCCUUGUGUUCGGCGUUCAGUCUGCCGGACUGUUUGAAGGCCCAACAAUUUCGGUGGGUAUGGUUAGCAGGCCUCCCAGGAGUACUGUGGAUUUGACAUAUCUUGUCCAGGAUUUUGUUGAAGUUGGAUAGCUCAUCGCUAUUGUCCUUAAGGGGCAGUUUUUUGUUGUUCUGCCGUGAGCUUUUGAAUCCGGCGUUGACUGCCGUGCUCUUUGGACUGUUCCUUUUAAUCCGGCGCUGGUCCUUGUUGCGCCGUGGUUUCCCAUUUCCAUCCCUGAUUUCGGAUGUACUUGGGUCGCUGGUGCUGCAUCUUGCUAGCCAGCUAUCCUCUCCCGCGCAAAAGCGGGUCAUGAGGCUUGUUAGUGCGGCCAUUGUUCUUGGCUUUUCUUGGCCGAGGUGUCUGGCGAGUCAUUCGUCUCGGACGUUGUGUUUGAAAGCUGCUAAGGCUUCGGCGUCCGGACAGUCGACUAUUUGGUUCUUUUUAGUAAGGAACCUGUUCUAGAAUUUCCGGGCUGACUCUCCGGACUGUUGAGUUAUGUGACUUAGAUCGUCUGCAUCCGGAGGGCGGACAUAAGUCCCCUGAAAAUUUGCCCGAAAUGCAUCCUCGAGCUCUUCCCAGCUUCCAAUGGUAUUUUCGGGGAGGCUCUUAAGCCAAUGCCGAGCUGGCCCUUUGAGUUUAAGGGGUAAGUAUUUUAUGGCGUGGUGAUCAUCUCCUCUAGCCAUGUGUAUGUGGAGGAUGUAAUCUUCAAUCCAGACUCCAGGGUCUGUUGUUCCGUCGUAUGCCUCUAUGUCUACGGGUUUGAAUCCCGCUGGAAAUUCAUGAUCCAGCACCUCAUCGAUGAAACAUAGGGGGUGUGCGGCGCCCCUAUAUUUGGGUGUGCCGUGAUCUUCGGAAUUUUGGCGUAUUGCAUUGCUAUGACGAGCAUGCUUUCUUGGCCCAUAGAUGGACCUAACUGGGCCAUCCUUUUGAUGUGAAUCCUUAUGCGGAUCACAUAUUGGCUUGUGUGCGGCACCAUUCGCCGCUCUCUUUUUGCCGUGAGGUCGUCCAUCCGACCGGGUGGCCUUCUUGCUUUUUAAUUGUGGGGGCUCUAAGGCCUCCACGUCAAAUUCGGGCAGUAGCUUUCUUUUCGGGUAGCUCUUUGUUCGGCGACUGUCGCCGUACUUGUCUGCGGUGCUGAAUACUUUGCUCCAUCUGAUCCUGAGUGCAUCUUCCGCUGUUUUGAGCUUCCGCUUCUUCUUUUUCAGGCUACGCGCAGUGGCGACGAGCCAUUUCUGGAGGUCGUUUUGCUCCAAUAGUUUGUCCGGCGUCAGAUCGUCCGGACUGUUGUCUUCGCCGGGGACAGAUUGUUUAUCCAAGUUGUCUUGUUCGGACGAUUGCUCAAUAGCUUGUUCGUUGUCCACCGGUUCGCCCUGCUCUAUGGCUGGGUCUUUAUUGAGGCGGGACUUUGUUCGGCGUUUACGCUGCCGUUUUGACUGCUUUUCGAGGUAUUUAUCCUUCGUAGCGUCCCGUUGUUCCUCGUCUUCAUUUCCUUUAGGUGUAUCCACCAUGUAUACAUCAUGAGAUGAGGUGGCUGUCCAGCAUCCUAGAGGUGCUGGCUCAUUGUUGUCUCCUACAUCAUCGUCCAUACCGUCGAUGUCUUCGGAGUCGAAGUCGAGCACGUCAUGUAAGCUUUUGACAGUGGCUACGAAGUGGGUGGUGGGUGGGCGUUGAAUUUUUUCGUCGUCCGCAUCCCAACCUCCUGACCGUAGUCCGGCCAGGGCUCUCCGGAUAAAGAGAGAGACUUUAGUGAAUUCAGGAUGUUGCCAAAGGGCGAGUGCUGAAAGAUGUCCGCGGCCGUGAACUCCAUGACCGGCGCCCAAUCGGGUUCGAUUGGCAGGGGCGCGGAGGGUUCAGAGUCCGGAGAGGAGUCCGGCACCCUGAAGUCAAGGUCUUCGCAAAGGACAGGGAUGGAGUUCGGAUCGAUCGCAGUAGAGAUUGUAGCCCCCGAGGCGGUGUCCAACCACUCAUCCUCGAUCGGGGAAUCCGGCUCCGGAUUAAGGGUCGGAGCGGAUACUGGUGCGGCCUCCAAGGCACUGUUCGGUUGCAGAGCUAGAUCAUGCCCGUCGAGACAGUGCGGCACGCUUGGCUGCGGCUCGAAUCCGUCGAAGAUCAAGUCUCCGCGGAUAUCAGCCGUAUAGUUCAAACUUCCAAAUCUGACCUGAUGGCCAGGGGCGUAGCUUUCGAUCUGCUCCAGAUGGCCAAGCGAAUUGGCCCGCAGUGCAAAGCCGCCGAACAUGAAGAUCUGUCCGGGGAGAAAAGUCUCACCCUAGACCGCGUCGUUGUUGAUGAUCGAAGGAGCCAUCGGGCCUAUCGGUGACGACACAGAGGAACUCUCAAUGAAAGCACCAAUGUCGGUGUCAAAACCGACGGAUCUCGGGUAGGGGGUCCCGAACUGUGCGUCUAGGCGGAUGGUAACAGGAGACAAGGGACACAAUGUUUUUACCCAGGUUCGGGCCCUCUCGAUGGAGGUAAUACCCUACUCCUGCUUGAUUAAUAUUGAUGAUAUGGGUAGUACAAGAGUAGAUCUACCACGAGAUCAAGGAGGCUAAACCCUAGAAGCUAGCCUAUGGUAUGAUUGUUGUUCUGUUCUACGGACUAAAACCCUCCGGUUUAUAUAGACACCGAAUAGGUUAGGGUUAAACAAAGUCGGUUACAAUGGUAGGAGAUCUACAUAUCCGUAUCGCCAAGCUUGCCUUCCACACCAAGGAAAGUCCCAUCCGGACACGGGACGAAGUCUUCAAUCUUGUAUCUUCAUAGUCUUGGAGUCCGGCCGUGACGAUAGUCCGGCUACCCGGACACCCCCUAGUCCGGGACUCCCUCAGUAAGCCAGGGAAGUAAGUUGAUCAAUCCCUGGUGAACACCGGGGCGGUGUUGGGUAAAUGCAUGGGACGUGACAGUGAGUCUUGUAGUGAGUUUGUGGCGACACCUAGUUACAAGGGUCCUGGUCUGAACAAGAAGGCAUGAGGUGAGGGUAAUGGAGGUGGCAUGAGCAACAUAGGUGUGUUAGGCGGUAAGGACGCUAUCGGCCCAUUGGUUGCCGAUGAAUGACAUGUGAUAAGGAAGGCACCUAUCAGGAGAAAUGAGUCGCCUGAUUUAGAAUUGUUGGGGCCUCGGGCAGUCUCGGAUAUUUGAAGAGCUAGUUUGCCUCGUGCACGCGUAUACCACUUGAUGAUCGUUUUACAUUCUGAAACUCAGCAAUGUGAAAGGAGUUUCAAUAAUCUUAGGUGGAUGCUAGGCCGCUAGAAUUGUAUUGUGCAUGAUGGUAAGGGCAAGGGUGUGUUGCGUUGUUGUGAGAUAAAUGAACUAAAAUAAAAAGAUUGCCAUAUACCUGACGUACAUCAAUGUCUUAAUUCAUGAUGAUUCCCAUGGACCAAAGGGAAAGAGUACCGUCGCCGAAGGGAACUACUAAAAUCCCUGGCCGAUGACUGCACUAAGCUGAGAGUGCUGCAAUAGGAUGUUUGGUCCUGGACAUUAAAGAUUUUGGCUCCAUGAUAAGCAGUACUCACUGGAUGAGAAGGAAUAUUGUAGUCACAUACUGAAUGCACCAUCUUAUUGGUUGCGGAUGGUCGGGAAAGCAUCUUAAGAAAGCAGGUCUUGGAAGGGUGGUUAAUGCCUAUCAAAAUUGUUGGGGGAGCCUCGGUGUCUCUAAACUAAUGUUUGUUGAUGACAGCCUUUUGUUCUUCAAGGCCGUAGGAAGAGAGGUGAGGGUAGUGAAGGACACUCCAAAUCUAUUUCAAAGGCGUACAUGAUAGCUUCUUAGCCCGGCUAAAUGCUCUUUAUUACUUAGUGAACAUUGCUCGCCCCAUGUCCAGUAAGAGAUAAAGGUCACCCUUGGUGUUGUGGCUUCCACUUUUGAGAGUAAAUAUUUGGAUUUACCAACCCCAGAAGGUAGGAUGUUUUCCUCGAAUUUUAGUCGAUCAUGGAAAGGUUCACAAAAAUGUGCAAGGACUGGAUUGAAAAGUAUAUGACCCAUGCAGCUAAAGUGGUCUUGAUUAAGUAAGUGGUUCAAGCGCUUCCCAAUUACUUCUUUGGAUUGUUCAAAUGUCCUUGGGCUUUUGUGAUAAGUAUGAAAAUUUUAUCUGGGACUUUAGGUGGGGCGAUGAGUAAGGACAUCACAAGGCCAUUUGGCUCUCCUGAUACCAAAUUAUAAAACAAAAGAGAGGAGGUGUUCUAGGAUUCUGGGAUAUGCAUAUGUUUAACCAAGCUCUCCUGGCAAGGCAAGGCUGGAGACUGGUUCACAAGCCGGAUAGUUUAUGUUCCAGAGUCUUGAAAUCAGAAUAUUAUCCUUGUGGGAUAUUCUGGACAUGGUCAUUUCCUCGUAUGCAUCCCCGGCUUGGAGUUAAGAUACUCAAGGAAGGCAUCAUCUGGCGUAUAGUGAAUGGACGAAAAAUUCAGAUUCAGAGAGACAACUGGAUUCUGAGACAGUAUGGCCUCAGGUUGCCAAAUUCGCUAGAAACUCAAGGUUGAGGUGGGUUAACCAGUUGAUUGUCUCGAUAAAAAAUGAAUGGAACAUUAACCUUGUCCAUAGGCUAUUUUCUGAUUUUGAUGUAGAGGAGAUAUUUCGCAUAAAUCACCCUUCUAUGUAAUGGAUGACGUGCUUAUAAACUUGCCACCAACUCAAAUUCAGGUACAAAUCCCCUGCUUCUAGCUCAUCAAGUGCGACAUAUAAUUGGAGUAUUUGGGAUGUGAUUUGGAGAGAUAAGGUUCCAGAGAAGGUUAAGGUCUUUGGCUGGAGGUUGCUACUGGCUCACUGGCUACACAAUUGUGUAAAUUUAUAAAGGCGCUGAGUGUAACACCAUUUGUGCUAUUUCUGGUAACAAUGUGGAUCACAAUUCCAAUCUCCACAGUGGCUUUGGGAUGUUGGCUAGUGUCCCAUCAAUACUUCUUUUUUGAGGGAAUUGGUGUCCCAUCAAUACUUAAUGCCCCCAUGUCUAAUGAUUGCAAUCAGUCCAUGGUAAUAUACAAGUCUAGUGGUUUCCCUCAAUUAAGUAAAAUAAACACAACUCGAAGAUCAACUAAUUUUUACCUUAAUUUUUCUAGAAAAAAUAGGGCGAGUUCUUCCCUUACCUUCUUCAAUGUUGAUAGCGGAGGGCGAAGUGGAGGCAACAACUAACUUCUCCGAUGCCAGUCGUGGCAAGACGUGGCCAUCGGAGAUAGUAUGCCGCUUUCCUCCAUCGCCAAUCAUCAUGUUGGCUCCAGAUCUGGAAAAAAUGGUUGGUCGCCCACACCUAGGACUCCAGAUCUAGAUGUAGUUGGUUGCCCAACUGCGGCGACUCCAAAUCUGGAUGCGGUUGGUCGCCCACACCUAGGACUCCAGAUAUGGAUGGAAACACAGUAGGAGCCUACGCGGUUUGUCUCAACGCAUCAUCCACCGCUCAAUCGUGGGCGGUUCAAGCGCAGUCUCGGCGUGGAUGUCAAGGGGAAGGGGGAACGUGUGUGACGAGAGAGAGAGCGAGGGGAGGGAGAGAGAGAAAGCGAGGACAGGAGGAGACUAGCGUGUGGGUUUGUUCGUUAUAGAAAAGCUUUACCUAUAGAUUAUUAUGUGAGCCUGCAUACCACAACAAGACCUCCCGUCCUCACGUUUAAAUUGCCCCGCCCUCUCCCACGUGGUGGGCCCACUUCUCACCCUACCGCUCCCAAAAAAGCGUGUAGGACGAGAGUUGUGCGUGUUGGUCAGUUUGCUCGCUGGAGCGAGCAAACGCCAGGGAGUCAAUAUGAGGUGCUCCCAGCAAGGAGACGAAAGACACCAUGCAACAUGCUCCGACCGACCAUGAUUCCUGCAUACAAAUAGUGAACCAUCGGAAGCAAUGACCUUACCUCACUGACCAGACACCCGCGGCUCCACUCCCACACACAUGAUGUCAGCGUGAGGUACUCAAUGUUCUCCUAGAAUUCUUGUAGCUGUUCGCCCAUAUUUUUAUUCAUGUUUCUCCCUGUCAACCAAGACCCCUCUACUGAAUUUCCCUUUGACUUGAGAAUGACGGCAGAGACGGAGCGCUUCAGAACGGGCCCUAACACCGGAACAUGCAACCACCGUGAUGUGGAGCACGCACGAGAAGAGAUCCACAGGAAUGGGGAUUAGCAACAUUAAGUAAUGUUUUAUACAAGGGUCCUGGUCUAAGUAAUCUGUGUUUAGCAACAUUAAGCUACAAAGUCGUUGUAGUAUAGUGGUAAGUAUUCCCGCCUGUCACGCGGGUGACCCGGGUUCGAUCCCCGGCAACGGCGCAUUUUUUUGUUUGGUUUGCCGGCCCACGACAGGCCACGCCGAUCCACUGCGUCCGAUGGAAGCUCCUGUUUUUUUUUAGGGUAAGCUACGUGCUGAAAAACAAAAUGUAAAGAAAAAAUAUAAUUUUCAUUGAGGGAGAACUGGGAAUCGAACUCACGAGGACCACGUGACUGAAAUAACCUAACCACUGCACCACCGUCAGUUACUUGCUAGCUUUCGUAAAACAGCCCUCUUUGACCUUUACUUCAGUAUAAACAUUAAACGUAUAUACUACUCCCUCCGUCCCAAAGUAAGUGUGUCAACUUUGUACUAGCUCUAGUACAAAUUUGUACUAAGCUCAAGACACUUUUUUUGAGACGGAGGGAGUAUUAUAUACCCACUAUAAAUUAUAUUUGAAUAAAGAAAAUAUAAACGUGAAAACGCAUUCACAUAAAACAUGAAUUCAAAAGAAAUGUUCACAAAAAUAGAAAAAAGAUUGUGAAUUUGGAAAAAAAUCAUCAAAUCUUAAAAAAAAGUUCAUCAAAUUUGAAAAAAGUUCACAAAAAUGAAGAGAGUUCACCUAAAUUGAAAAAGUUCAUUGAAUUUCAAAAAAAGAUCAUCAAAUUUGAAAAAAAGUUCAUCGUAUUUGAAAGAAGUUUAUUGAAUUUGAAAAAAAAUUCACCGAAAUUGAAAUAGUUCAUCGAAAUUGAGAAAAGUUCAUCGGAUUUGAGUAAAGUUCAUCGUAUUUGAAAAAAAGUUCACCGAAAUUUAAAAAAGUGCAUCGAUAUUGAGAAAAGUUCAUCAAAUUUGAAAAAUAGUUCAUGAAUUUAUAAAGACUUCAUAAAUUUAGAAAAAGGUACACGAAAUUUAUAAAACGGUGCAUUAAAGAAAACAAAAAAGAAUGAGAAAAAAAGAAAAAGUAUAAACCAAACUGAAUAAGGAAUAUAAGAAGAGAAACAAACUUUUUGUCCACUAGCGUGGUGAUGGCGUGGUGGUUAGUGCGUAGCGGUAGGAUCAGAGAGGUUGAGGGGUCGAACUCUUCCACGCGAGCACUUUUUGCCGUUUUCGAAAGUAUCCCGUUCGCUCUAGAGCCCUGCCAACACAUUUUGUGUCGGGCUACAAAUUUGUUGUUGCAAGGGCAAAGCAUGCGCGUGCUUAAGGACUACUAGAAUCUAGUCAUUGCCCAAAUGCUUAUAAUGAUACCGCUGAUUUUGAUAAAAGAAACACUUUGCUUUUGGUCUGUGCGUGCUACUUUUGGUUUGUUGGUUUUCCGGCUAUAUUUGCUAGCUCAAAUUUAGAUAAACCAGCUUUACAUUUGUAGACCAAAUGAGUUCGUGUUAUAUGUUAUAUAUGCGUUCAUAUUGGUCUUUUUCUCCAAUUGAGCCGGCAGAAGUUGCCUGAUUUUUGGAUUUGGCUCAGUUGAUUUAAUUGGGAAGGAAGAAGGAAGCGCAACGGGGCAUGGUGUCCGCCUUUGGUGGCAACGGGGCAUGGUGUCCGCCUUUGGUGGCACCGGGGCAAGACGUCGGCAAGGCCUCAGCUAGGAACGAGCCGUAGCCGCCGGAGGCUAGUUCAAAGGUUAAUGGUUCGGGCUGCGGGCUCGCAGAGAAAUUCUAGUGGUUUCUCUGUUUAGAGGGAUGGCCAGGGUGGCAGCAACACGAUGGUGAGGAGAAAGGGGUGGCGGAGGCAGGCGGUUCAGCCGAUAGUCAUGGACAGGUUGAGGAAGAAGGUGAAUAGGGGAGGACAGUAGGUGGAAGAAGGCCAUCUGGUCAUUGGUUGUUCAUCGGGCGUUUCAAAAAAAUCAAUCCAUCCAAAUCCUUUUUUAAUCGCCCGCCCUCUAGCAAUCCACUUUUUCCUCAUGGGUAACUGUGUCAAGAUGAUGUUUAGACCCCAAUAAGGGUUGGACUAUAUAUUUGUUUGUUUUGUUCUUCGAGUUGCAUAUAUAGAACAGAAAUAGAAUUUAAGCUAUUCUCGUCUUCACUAGAAUCAUUUAUCCAUCCAGAUCUAUGCUCAUGCAUUGUUGUUAAUGUACUUACAUUCUUCUAUCUGCAUGGGCCAUUGUCUAACAUCUCAACUCUUGGUUCCAUCAUCCCUAGUAUCAAUGAUCAUUGUCGAGACUAUACACACCAUUUUCUCGUUGGUCCUUUCUCAUUUCAUUCACCGGAGCGGCUGUAGCCCUCCGUGUAGGGUCGGCGGCACGAGGAGGGGUUGUCGGUGUCGUUCCUGAUGUUAGAGUCUUCGGACAGGGAUUGAUUGUUCGCUUUUUGGCGUUUUCGAAAAGUAUCCCGUUCGCUCUAGAGCCCUGCCAACACAUUUUGUGUCGGGCUACAAAUUUGUUGUUGCAAGGGCAAAGCAUGCGCGUGCUUAAGGACUACUAGAAUCUAGUCAUUGCCCAAAUACUUAUAAUGAUACCGCUGAUUUUGAUAAAAGAAACACUUUGCUUUUGGUCUGUGCGUGCUACUUUUGGUUUGUUGGUUUUCCAGCUAUAUUUGCUAGCUCAAAUUUAGAUAAACCAGCUUUACAUUUGUAGACCAAAUGAGUUCGUGUUAUAUGUUAUAUAUGCGUUCAUAUUGGUCUUUUUCUCCAAUUGAGCCGGCAGAAGUUGCCUGAUUUUUGGAUUUGGCUCAGUUGAUUUAAUUGGGAAGGAAGAAGGAAGCGCAACGGGGCAUGGUGUCCGCCUUUGGUGGCAACGGGGCAUGGUGUCCGCCUUUGGUGGCACUGGGGCAAGACGUCGGCAAGGCCUCGGCUAGGAACGAGCCGUAGCCGCCGGAGGCUAGUUCAAAGGUUAAUGGUUUGGACUGCGGGCUCGCAGAGAAAUUCUAGUGGUUUCUCUGUUUAGAGGGAUGGCCAGGGUGGCAGCAACACGAUGGUGAGGAGAAAGGGGUGGCGGAGGCAGGCGGUUUAGCCGAUAGUCAUGGACAGGUUGAGGAAGAACGUGAAUAGGGGAGGACAGUAGGUGGAAGAAGGCCAUCUGGUCAUUGGUUGUUCAUCGGGCGUUUCAAAAAAAUCAAUCCAUCCAAAUCCUUUUUUAAUCGCCCGCCCUCUAGCAAUCCACUUUUUCCUCAUGGGUAACUGUGUCAAGAUGAAUCAAUCCAUCCAAAUCCUUUUUUAAUCGCCCGCCCUCUAGCAAUCCACUUUUUCCUCAUGGGUAACUGUGUCAAGAUGAUGUUUAGACCCCAAUAAGGGUUGGACUAUAUAUUUGUUUGUUUUGUUCUUCGAGUUGCAUAUAUAGAACAGAAAUAGAAUUUAAGCUAUUCUCGUCUUCACUAGAAUCAUUUAUCCAUCCAGAUCUAUGCUCAUGCAUUGUUGUUAAUGUACUUACAUUCUUCUAUCUGCAUGGGCCAUUGUCUAACAUCUCAACUCUUGGUUCCAUCAUCCCUAGUAUCAAUGAUCAUUGUCGAGACUAUACACACCAUUUUCUCGUUGGUCCUUUCUCAUUUCAUUCACCGGAGCGGCUGUAGCCCUCCGUGUAGGGUCGGCGGCACGAGGAGGGGUUGUCGGUGUCGUUCCUGAUGUUAGAGUCUUCGGACGGGGAUUGAUUGUUCACGUGUUAUGAAAUUGGUCCUAAUUUGAUAGGUAUUUAAGAGGGAUAUUUUUUUUAGAACGAGGGCUCAAGAAGAGCCCGGCUUUGAAUUAACAAAGUCAUCAACUGGCCAGGAUUACAAACUCGAAACCAACACAAGAAAGAUAAGAAAAUGGCAAUAUACAAAGGCUCUGGAAAGCAGCCCACAAAGCCUCAUACACACCAAGCUAAAAAGAUCGAUAGGGAGAAACACAGCUUGAAGAUGAAGAGGUCCUCCACGCGACCAGAACGCCAUGGAAGAAGAAGAAUGCCCACACUGGAUCAACAUGUCCAACGACAAAGAAGGGCAUGCCGUCGCCUAAUCAUCAACAGCCCCGACCCUACACAUCCGCCCAGCUCCAAUGUCAAAGAAGGCCCCUGCCUCCUCUCCUGGCUCGAAAGGCGCCGCACCAUUGACAAGAGGAGCAGUUCACCCUAGAACCUGGGAGAUAGUCGCCGGCAGGCUACAUCUAAAAAGAAAACAAACUCACCCAACAAGUCACGAACACAUCACCAAGAGCAUAGCACCGCCGAAUCCCACGGACUAGUCACAAAAAGGAAGAGUUGCCGGAACGGAUAAAGAUGAGCAACAACUAGAUCUCUUUGGAAGACAUUGAGAACCGAAGUGCAGGUACCGAAAGAGGGGCUAAUACUCGUAUGGUGCACUGAGAAGGGUCGUCAAAUGAGGGGAACCCGAUCCCCUCACGCCCAGGAGAAUCCACAGGCCAGACAGAGCACCCCACAGUAGACCGGAGAGCUCCCAAAAUGAAGGAGUCAUUUAGGAAGUCGAGGUCAUCGAGGGAGAUCAGCUACAGCCGCCGCUACACACGAAACACAUCUCUGAGAAACCCCACGCCCGCCUUGCUCCCAAAACCGGCGCCUUCAGGAAGGACGUGACACCAAGGGCGCCGCCGCCGCCCAACAGUGUUGGGGAUUUCUCCCGGGAGGCAAGGAGGGGAAGGGGGCAGAGGAACAGACCCAAGCGGCACCUCCAAGGAGGGGAACGGUGUUGGGGAACGUUGCGUGGGAAACAAAAAAAUUCCUACGCUCACCAAGAUCAAUCUAGGAGAUGAACAUCUACGAGAGAAGAGAUUGCAUCUACAUACCCUUGUAGAUCGCUAAGCGGAAGCGUUAAGAAACGCGGUUGAUGUAGUCGAACGUCUGAUGUCUACUAGACAACCUUUUUCUUGUAGACGUUGUUGGGCCUCCAAGUGAAGAGGUUUGUAGGACAGUAGCAAAUUUCCCUCAAGUGGAUGACCUAAGGUUUAUCAAUCUGUGGGAGGCAUAGGAUGAAGAUAGUCUCUCUCUCAAACAACCCUGCAACCAAAUAACAAAGAGUCUCUUGUGUCCCCAACACACGCAAUACAAUGGUAAAUUGUAUAGGUGCACUAGUUCGGCGAAGAGAUGGUGAUACAAGUGCAAUAUGGAUGGUAGAUAUGAGUAUUUGUAAUCUGAAAAUAUAAAAAAGCAAGGUAACAAGUGGCAAAAGUGAGCGUAAACGGUAUUGCAAUGCUAGGAAACAAGGCCUAGGGUUCAUACUUUCACUAGUGCAAGUUCUCUCAACAAUAAUAACAUAACUGGAUCAUAUAACUAUCCCUCAACAUGCAACAAAGAGUCACUCCAAAGUCACUAGUAGCGGAGAACAAACAAAGAGAUUAUUGUAGGGUAUGAAACCACCUCAAAGUUAUCCUUUCUGAUCGAUCUAUUCAAGAGUCCGUAGUAAAAUAACACGAAGCUAUUCUUUCCGUUCGAUCUAUCAUAGAGUUCGUACUAGAAUAACACCUUAAGACACAAAUCAACUAAAACCCUAAUGUCACCUAGAUACUCCAAUGUCACCUCAAGUAUCCGUGGGCAUGAUUAUACGAUAUGCAUCACACAAUCUCAGAUUCAUCUAUUUAACAAACACAAAGUACUUCAAAGAGUGCCCCAAAGUUUCUACCGGAGAGUCAAGACGAAAACGUGUGCCAACCCCUAUGCAUAAGUUCAUUGAACCCGCAAGUUGAUCACCAAAACAUACAUCAAGUAGAUCACAUGAAUAUCCCAUUGUCAACAUAGAUAAGCACGACAAGACAUACAUCAAGUGUUCUCAAAUCCUUAAAGACUCAAUCCGACAAGACAACUUUGAUAACCCAUAAGUAUAGGGGAUCGCAACGGUUUUCGAGGGUAUAGUAUUCAAUCCAAAUUUAUUGAUUCGACACAAGGGGAGCCAAAGAAUAUUCUCAAGUAUUAGCAGUUGAGUUGUCAAUUCAACCACACCUGGAUAACUUAAUAUCUUCAGCAAAGUAUUUAGUAGCAAAGAAGUAUGGAAGUAACAGUAACAGUAGCAAAAGUAACAGUAGCAGUUUUAUAGUAAUUGUAACAGUAGCAACGGUAAAGUAAAUAAGCAAAGAACAAUAUGUGAAAAGCUCGUAGGCAUUGGAUCUGUGAUGGAUAAUUAUGUCGGAUGCGAUUCCUCAUGUAAUAGUUAUAACAUAGGGUGACACAGAACUAGCUCCAGUUCAUCAAUGUAAUGUAGGCAUGUAUUCCGAAUAUAGUCAUACGUGCUUAUGGAAAAGAACUUGCAUGACAUCUUUUGUCCUACCCUCCCGUGGCAGCGGGUCCUAAUGGAAACUAAGGGAUAUUAAGGCCUCCUUUUAAUAGAGUACCAGACCAAAGCAUUAAUUAGCACAUAGUGAAUACAUGAACUCCUCAAACUACGGUCAUCACCGAGAAGUAUCCCGAUUAUUGUCACUUCAGGGUUGUCGGAUCAUAACACAUAAUAGGUGAAUAUAGACUUGCAAGAUAGGAUCAAAAACUCACAUAUAUUCAUGAAAACGUAAUAGGUUCAGAUCUGAAAUCAUGGCACUCGGGCCCUAGUGACAAGCAUUAAGCAUAGCAAAGUCGUAGCAACAUCAACCUCAGAACAUAGUGGAUACUAGGGAUCAAACCCUAACAAAACUAACUUGAUUACAUGGUAAAUCUCAUCCAACUCAUCACCGUCCAGCAAGCCUAUGAUGCAAUUACUCACGCACGGCGGUGAGCAUCAUGAAAUUGGUGAUGGAGGAUGGCUUAUGAUGAUGACGGCGACGAAUCCCCCUCUCCGGAGCCCCAAACGGACUCCAGAUCAGCCCUCUCGAGAGAGAUUAGGGCUUGGCGGCGGCUCCGUAUCGUAAAACGCGAUGAAACUUUCUCUCUGAUUUUUUUCUCCACGAAAGCAAAUAUAUGGAGUUGGAGUUGAGGUCGGUGGACGUCCAGGGGGCCCACGAGGCAGGGGGGCACGCCCCCCACCCUCGUGGACAGGGUGUGGGGCCCCUGACGUUGAUUCUUUAUUUUUUAUUAAUUCUGAAAAGUUGCUCUGUGGAUUUUCAUGUCAUUCCGAGAAUUUUUAUUUCUGCACAAAAAUAACACCACGGCAGUUCUGCUGGAAACAGCAUCAGUCCGGGUUAGUUCCAUUCAAAUCAUGCAAGUUAGAGUCCAAAACAAGGGCAAAAGUGUUUGGAAAAGUAGAUACGACGGAGACGUAUCAAACUUCAAGGGGAAAACUCAAUUCAUCACAAGAGAGUAGAGGAGGAGAAACAUCAUAAGAUCCAACUAUAAUAGCAAAGCUCGCGAUACAUCAAGAUCGUAUCACCUCAAGAACACGAGAGAGAGAGAUAGAUCAAACACAUAGCUACUGGUACAUACCCUCAGCCCCGAGGGUGAACUAGUCCCUCCUCGUCAUGGAGAGCGCCGGGAUGAUGAAGAUGGCCACCAGUGAGGGAUCCCCCCUUCGGUAGGGUGCCGGAACAGGGUACCGAUUGGUUUUUGGUGGCUACAGAGGCUUGCGGCGGCGGAACUUCCGAUCUAUUAUGCUCCUCGAUGUUUUUAGGGUAUAUGGACAUAUAUAGGCGAAAGGAGUCGGUCAAGGGAGCCACGAGGGGCCCACGAGGGUGGGGCACGCCCAGGGGGGUAGGGUGCGGCCCUGACCCUCGUGGCCACCUCGAAGCUUCCCUGACGUAUACUCCAAGUCUCCUGGAUUGCUUCCGUUCCAAAAAUAACUCUCCCAAAGGUUUCAUUCCGUUUGGACUCCGUUUGAUAUUCCUUUUCUUCGAAACACUGAAAUAGGCAAGAAAACAGCAAUUUGGGCUGGGCCUCCGGUUAGUAGGUUAGUCCCAAAAAUGAUAUAAAAGUGUAGAGUAAAGCCCAUAAACAUCCAAAACGGGUAAUAUAAUAGCAUGGAACAAUCAAAAAUUAUAGAUACGUUGGAGACGUAUCAAGCAUCCCCAAGCUUAAUUCCUGCUCGUCCUCGAGUAGGUAAAUGAUAAAACAGAAUUUUAGAUGUGGAAUUCUACCUAGAAUAUUUCUCAAUGUAAUUUUUUUUAUUGUGAGAUGAAUGUUCAGAUCCAAAUGAUUCAAAAUAAAAAGUUCAUAUUGACAUAAGAAAUAGUAAUACUUCAAGCACACUAACAAGUAAUCAUGUCUUCUCAAAAUAACAUGGCCAAAGAAAGUUUAUCCCUACAAAAUCAUAUAGUUAGGCUAUGCUUCAUUUUCGUCACACAAAAUACUCCCAUCAUGCACAACCUCGGUUUCAUCCAAGCAAUUGGUUCAUACUUUUUAACGCGCUUCAGCCUUUUUCAACUCUCACGCAAUACAUGAGCGUAAGCCAUGGAUAUAGCACUAUGGGUGGAAUAGAAUAUGAUGAUGGAGCUUGUGUGGAGAAGACAAAAAAGGAGAAAGUCUCACAUUGACGAGGCUAAUCAACGGGCUAUGGAGAUGCCCAUCAAUUGUUGUCAACAUGAGGAGUAGGGAUUGCCAUGCAACGGAUGCACUAGAGCUAUAAAUGUAUGAAAGCUCAACAAAAGAAACUAAGUGGGUGUGCAUCCAUUUUGCUUGCUCAUGAAGACCUAGGGCAUUUUGAGAAAGCCCAUCGUUGGAAUAUACAAGCCAAGUUCUAUAAUGAAAAAUUCCCACUAGUAUAUGAAAGUGACAACAUAGGAGACUCUCUAUAUGAAGAACAUGGUGCUACUUUGAAGCACAAGUGUGGAAAAAGAUAGUAACAUUGUCCCCCCCCCCUUUUUGGGCCUUUCUUCCUUUUUGGCCUUUUUUAUUGGCCUUUUUUUAAUGGCCUUUUUUAUUUGGCCUUUCUUUUUUAUAAGGGACAAUGCUCUAAUAAUGAUGAUCAUCACACUUCUAUUUACUUACAACUCAUGAAUUACAACUCGAUACUAGAACAAAAUAUGACUCUAUAUGAGUGCCUCCGGCGAUGUACGGGAUAUGCAAUGAAUCAAGAGUGACAUGUAUGAAAAUUAUGAAGGUGGCUUUGCUACAAAUACGAUGUCAACUACAUGAUCAUGCAAAAGCAACAUGACAAUGAUGAUGCAUGUCAUGAUAAACGGAACAGUGGAAAGUUGCAUGGCAAUAUAUCUCGGAAUGGCUAUGGAAAUGCCAUAAUAGGUAGGUAUGGUGGCCGUUUUGAGGAAGAUAUAAGGAGGUUUAUGUGUGAUAGAGCAUAUCGUAUCACAGGUUUGGAUGCACCGGCGAAGUUUGCACCAACUCUCAAGGUGAGAAAGGGCAAUGCACGGUACCGAAGUGGCUAGCAAUGAUGGAAGGGUAAGAGUGCGUAUAAUCCAUGGACUCACAUUAGUCAUAAAGAACUCAUAUACUUAUUGCAAAAGUUUUAUUAGCCCUCGAAGCAAAGUACUACUAAGCAUGCUCCUAGGGGGAGGUUGGUAGGAGUUAACCAUCGCGCGCCCCGACCUCCACACAUAAGGAUGGCAAUUAAAAGAGCACCCCAUGCAACAAAUUUGUUACACAACUUUUACCAUACGUGCAUGCUACAGGACUUGCCAACUUCAACACAAGUAUUUCUCAAUCUCAUAAUUACCCAACUAGCAUGACUCUAAUAUUACCACCUUUAUAUCUCAAAACAAUUAUCAAGCAUCAAAUUGAUCAUAACAUCCAAUUCACUUUCUAUGAUAGUUUUUAUUAUACCCAAAUUGGAUGCCCAUCAUUCUAGGACCAAUUUUAUAACCAUAGCAAAUACCAUGUUGUUCUAAAAGACUCUCAAAAUAAUAUAAGUGAAGCAUGAGAGAUUAACAAUUUCUAAAAAAUAAAACCGUCGUCGUGCUCUAAAAAUAUAUAAGUGAAGCACUAGAGCAAUAUUGUCUAGCUCAAAAGAUAUAAGUGAAGCACAUAGAGUAUUCUAAUAAAUUCCGAAGCAUGUGUGUCUCUCCCAAAAGGUGUGUAAAGCAAGGAUGAUUGUGGUAAACUAAAAAGCAAAGACUCAUAUCAUACAAGACGCUCCAAGCAAAACACAUAUCAUGUGGUGAAUAAAAAUAUAACUCCAAGUAAAGUUACCGAUAGACGAAGACGAAAGAGGGGAUGCCAUCUGGGGCAUCCCCAAGCUUAGGCUCUUGGUUGUCCUUGAAUAUUACCUUGGGGUGCCUUGGGCAUCCCCAAGCUUAGGCUCUUGCCACUCCUUAUUCCAUAGUCCAUCGAAUCUUUACCCAAAACUUGAAAACUUCACAACACAAAACUCAACAGAAAACUCGUAAGCUCCGUUAGUAUAAGAAAAUAAUUCACCACUUAUGUACUGUUGUGAACUCAUUAUAAAUUUGUAUGGGUGUAAUAUCUACUGUAUUCCAACUUCUCUAUGGUUCAUACCCUCCGAUACUACUCAUAGAUUCAUCAAAAUAAGCAAACAACACAUAGAAAACAGAAUCUGUAAAAAAAACAGAACAGUUUGUAGUAAUCUGUAUCAUUCGAAUACUUCUAUAACUCCAAAACUUCUACCAAAUUAUGAAAACCUGAGUAAUUUGUGUACCAAUCCAUAGCAAAAAGAAUUAGAUCAAAAUCACGUUUCUGUGAAUUAUCAAAACUAAUUUACUUGGUGCAAAAGUUUCUGAUUUUCAGCAGGAUCAACACAACUAUCACCGUAAGCUAUUCUAAAGGUCUUACUUGGCACUUUAUUGAAACAAAAGCUAUAAAACAUGAUUAUUACAGUAGUAUAAUCAUGUGGACACACAAAAAUAGUAAAGGUAAAUAUUGGGUUGUCUCCUAACAAGCGAUUUUCUUUAAUGCCUUUUAGCUAGGCAUGAUGGUUUCAAUGAUGCUCGCAUAAAAGAUAAGAACUGAAACAUAAAGAGAGCAUAAUGUAGCAUAUUACUAACACAUUUAAGUCUAACCCACUUCCUAUGCAUAGGGAUUUUGUGAGCAAACAACUUAUGGGAACAAUAAUCAACUAGCAUAGGAAGGCAAAACAAGCAUAACUUCAAGAUUUUAAGCACAUAGAGAUGAGACUUGAUAUUAUUGCAAUUCCUACAAGCAUAUGUUCCUCCCUCAUAAUAAUUUUCAGUAGCGUCAUGAAUGAAUUCAACAAUAUAACCAGCACCUAAAGCAUUCUUUUCAUGAUCUACUUGCAUAGAAAUUUUACUACUCUCCACAUAAGCAAAAUCUUCUUAUUCGGAAUAGUGGGAGUAUCAUAAGAGACUCGAAUACUAUAAAUUGUUUCCACAUUAAAAGAGUAGUGUUAAGAAAAGGGGUAAUCAUAAUUAUGACAAGUUUUAUAAAUAUAAUCAUCACUACUUUUUAUAGCAUAAGUUUCAUCAAAAUAAUCAUCAUAAGUAGCAACUUUGUUCUCAUCAUAAUCAAUUGAAACCUUUUCCAAAAUAGUGGAUUCACCACUAAAUAACGUCAUGACCUCUCCAAAUCCACUUUCAUAAAUAUCAAAAUAAGAUUCAGCAUUCUCCAAAAUAGUGGGAUCAUUACUUCCUAAAGUUGACACUCUUCCAAACCCACUUUCAACAAUAUAAUCAUCAUAAGUAGGAGGCAUGAUAUCAUCAUAACAACUUUGCAUAUCAAAACUUGGGAGGCUAAAAAUAUCACCUUCAUUAAACGUAGCAUCCCCAAGCUUGGGACAAACAUUAAUUGCAGCAAAUAUAUUCUCAAACAUGUCAUUUUCAUCAAACAUAGCAUCCCCAAGCUUGGGCCUUUUCAUAUCAUAAGCGUAAUCACACUCAUCAUUAAUAGUAUGGAUAGCACCAAUAGUAUAACAAUUAUCAUCAUCACAAUGAGUAAUAGGAGCAACAUCAUUUGGGAGGGAUACCUUUCUACCUUUGCUUCUCCAUCUCUUCUUUUUCUUCUUCACAUCGUGUGUGGGUUUAACUCUCUUUUUGGAGCUCCUUAUUAAUGAGAUUGGUUGAAUAGAAAGCUCCUCCUCGUUAAUAAUAGGAGGAUAUUGGGAAGUCUCUUCCCUUUCAUUAGUAUUCUCUUCAUCUUCUAUUUGCUUUCUUAUAGAUCACUGAAUAUGAUAUGUUUGAUUCCUUGCAAUAGUUUUGCGAUAUGAAGAUGGUGAUAUUAGAGUCAUGCUAGUGGGUAGUUGUGGAUUGUAGAAAUACUUGUGUUGAAGUUCGUGAUUCCCGUAGCAUGCACGUAUGGUGAACCGUUAUGUAACGAAGUUGGAGCAUGAGGUAUUUAUUGAUUGUCUUCCUUAUGAGUGGUGGUCGGAGACGAGCGAUGGUCUUUUCCUACCAAUCUACCCCCCUAGGAGCAUGUGCGUAGUACUUUGUUUCGAUGACUAAUAGAUUUUUGCUAUAAGUAUGUGAGUUCUUUAUGACUAAUGUUGAGUCCAUGGAUUAUAUGCACUCUCACCCUUCCAUCAUUGUUAGCCUCUUCGGUACCAUGCAUUGCCCUUUCUCACCUCGAGAGUUGGUGCAAACUUCGUCGGUGCAUCCAAACCCCGUGAUACGAUACACUCUAUCACACAUAAGCCUCCUUAUAUCUUCCUCAAAACAGCCACCAUACCUACCUAUCAUGGCAUUUCCAUAGCCAUUCCGAGAUAUAUUGCCAUGCAACUUCCAUCAUCAUCAUAUACAUGACUUGAGCAUUCAUUGUCAUGCAUAUUACUUUGCAUGAUCGUAAGAUAGCUAGCAUGAUGUUUUCAUGGCUUGCCCGUUUUUUGAUGUCAUUGCUAUGCUAGAUCAUUACACAUCCCGGUACACCGCCGAAGGCAUUCGUAUAGAGUCAUAUCUUUGUUUUAGAUAUCGAGUUGUAAUAUUGAGUUGUAAGUAAAUAUAAGUGUGAUGAUCAUCAUUAUUAGAGCAUUGCCCCAUGGAAAAAAAUAGGCCAAAGAAGCCUAAAUAAAAAGGUGGGGGGUGGGGCAAAGAAGACCGCCAAAAAAAAGAGAAAAAAGGGGGCAAUGUUACUAUCCUUUUACCACACUUGUGCUUCAGAGUAGCACCAUGUUCUUCAUAUAGAGAGUCUCCUAUAUUGUCACUUUCAUAUACUAGUGGGAAUUUUCAUUAUAGAACUUGGCUUGUAUAUUCUGAUGAUGGGCUUCCUCAAAUGCGUGAGGUCUUCAUGAGCAAGCAAGUUGGAUGCACACCCACUUAGUUUCCAGUUUGAGCUUUCAUACACUUAUAGCUCUUAGUGCAUCCGUUGCAUGGCAAUCCCUACUCCUCGCAUUGACAUCAAUUGAUGGGCAUCUCCAUAGCCCGUUGAUUAGCCGCAUCAAUGUGAGACUUUCUCCCUUUUUGUCUUCUCCACACAACCUCCACCAUCAUAUUCUAUUCCACCUAUAGUGCUAUGUCCAUGGCUCACACUCAUGUAUUGCAUGAAAGUUGAAAAGGUUUGAGAACGUCAAAAGUAUGAAACAAUUGCUUGGCUUGUCAUCGGGGUUGUGCAUGAUUUGAGUAUUUUGUGUGGUGAAGAUGGAGCAUAGCCAGACUAUAUGAUUUUGUAGGGAUAACUUUCUUUGGCCAUGUUGUUUUGAAAAGACAUGAUUGCUUUAUUAGUACAUUUGAAGUAUUAUCAUUUUUAUGUCAAAUGAUAGAUUAUUGCUUUGAAUCACUCGUGUCUUAAUAUUCAUGCCAUGAUUAUAUAUAUGAUCAAGAUUAUGCUAGGUAGCAUUCCACAUCAAAAAUUAUCUUUUUAUCAUUUACCUACUCGAGGACGAGCAAGAAUUAAGCUUGGGGAUGCUGAUACGUCUCCGUCGUAUCUAUAAUUUUUGAUUGCUCCAUGCCAAUAUUAUUCAACUUUCACAUACUUCUUUUGGCAACUUUUUAUAAUAUUUUUGGGACUAACAUAUUGAUCCGGUGCCCAGUGCCAGUUCCUUUUUGUUGCAUGUUUUAUGUUUCACAGAAAACCCAUAUCAAACGGAGCUAAACGGGAUAAAAACGGACGGAGAAUAUUUUUGGAAUAUUUGUGAUAUUUGGGAAGAAAAAUCAACGCGAGACGGUGCCCGAGGGGGCCACGAGGCAGGGGGCAUGCCCCUGACCCUCGUGGGCACCCCGUAAGGCGGUUGCUGCUCUUCUUUGGCCGCAAGAAAGCUAAUUUUUGAGAAAAAAAUCUUGGCGAAGGUUUCAGUCCAAUCGGAGUUACGGAUCUCCGGAUAUAUACGAAACGGUGAAAGGGCAGAAUCAAGAACGCAGAAACAGAGAGAGGCAGAGAGACAGAUCCAAUCUCGGAGGGGCUCUCGCCCCUCCCAUGCCAUGGAAGCCAAGGACCAGAGGGGAAACCCUUCUCCCAUCUAGGGAGAAGGUCAAGGAAGAAGAAGAAUAAGGGGGGCUCUCUCCCCCUCGCUUCCGGUGGCGCCGGAACACCGCCGGGGCCAUCAUCAUCACCAUGAUCUACACCAACAACUCCACCGCCUUCAUCACCAACUCUUCCCUCCUCUAUGCAGCGGUGUAACCCCUCUUUUACCUAAUGUAAUCUCUACUUAAACAUGGUGCUCAACGCUAUAUAUUAUUUCCCAAUGAUGUAUAGCUAUCUUAUGAUGUUUGAGUAGAUCCGUUUUGUCCUAUGGGUUAAUUGAUGAUCGUGAUUGGUUUGAAUUGCAUGUUUUAUUAUUGGUGCUGUCCUAUUGUGCCCUCCGUGUCGCGCAAGCAUGAGGGAUUCCCGCUGUAGGGUGUUGCAAUAUGUUCAUGAUUCGCUUAUAGUGGGUUGCUUGAGUGACAGAAGCAUAAACCCGAAUAAGGGGGUUCUGGCGUAUGGGAUAAAGGGGACUUGAUGCUUUAAUGCUAUGGUUGGGUUUUACCUUAAUGAUCUUUAGUAGUUGCGGAUGCUUGCUAGAGUUCCAAUCAUAAGUGCAUAUGAUCCAAGAAGAGAAAGUAUGUUAGCUUAUGCCUCUCCCUAAAAAAAAUUGCAAUAGUGAUUACCGGUUUAGUUAUCGAUUGCCUAGGGACAAAUAACUUUCUCGUGACAAAAAGCUCUCUAUUAAAACUAACUUAGUUUUGUCUUCAUCUAAACAGCCCCUACUUUUUAUUUACGUGCUCUUUAUUAUCUUGCAAACCUAUCCUAUCAUACCUGCAAAGUCCUUAUAGUUUCUUACUUGUUCUAGGUAAAGCGAACGUCAAGCGUGCAUAGAGUUGUAUCGGUGGUCGAUAGAACUUGAUGGAAUAUUUGUUCUACCUUUAGCUCCUCGUUUUGUUCAACACUCUUAUUAUCGAAAGAGGCUACAAUUUAUCCCCUAUACUUGUGGGUUAUCACGCCACCAGACCUUUUUUGCCCUCCAUGCAGUCACGUUCUAGGGCACCAUGUCCUCCAAGCCCUCCUCGUCCGCGCUUUAGGGCACGACGGAGCGGAUGUGCGNNNNNNNNNNNNNNNNNNNNNNNNNNNNNNNNNNNNNNNNNNNNNNNNNNNNNNNNNNNNNNNNNNNNNNNNNNNNNNNNNNNNNNNNNNNNNNNNNNNNNNNNNNNNNNNNNNNNNNNNNNNNNNNNNNNNNNNNNNNNNNNNNNNNNNNNNNNNNNNNNNNNNNNNNNNNNNNNNNNNNNNNNNNNNNNNNNNNNNNNNNNNNNNNNNNNNNNNNNNNNNNNNNNNNNNNNNNNNNNNNNNNNNNNNNNNNNNNNNNNAUGGAGUUUGAGAACGCCUAGUGGGAUGGCCUGGAGGUGCAGAUCGCGCUUUCGUCCGUCGGGGAUGUCAUCAUCCCUGAGCUGGAGGAGGCAGACGACGCGGAACUCCGGUGGAACCCGGCAGUGGUGGGCCAGUCCUGGUCGUGAACUUCGACUUUGUCGUGCACGCGGGAGUUGGCGUCUGCGCCACACGUGUUGGUUGGCACCGACACAUGAUCACCGCUCCACGUGCCACCGCCGCCCCCCUGCUGUGCAACCGCCACAGUCGCCACCAGCCCACCUAUGGCAGUCGCCUCCCUUCGUCAACCUCAGCACAGACGAGGAAGAGGGCAACCAAGACGGUGGCGAGGCCAUGCAGUGAACACGGCGGGGACGUCUUGUUCUUUUCUAUAAUAAUUUUGAGUUUAAGUUGAUGCAUGAUGAAUAGUUCGGCCAUGACUUUUGGACGUUAAUGUAAUAUAUAAUUAUCGUUUAGAUUAUUUUUUAUCUCCUUUUUUGUUUGAAUUUUAGUUUAAAUCUGAACGCUUUCACCAAAUGUGACGGCCGGUCGGGUGCGACAACCGGCGGACGACCGCAAAUGGACGCUUGUGUCCACUUUGCCGACCCAAACGGACAGAAUCCGGAUAAAGCAGACGUCUGUUUGGGGUCGUCCAACAACUUUUGGAGUCGGCCUUAAAACACACAGCCAUAGAGCAGGUCUUAGAGCAUCUCCAGCCGCGCCCCAACAUGCCCCCCACCCAAGGCCCUUUUUCGUCGCCGACGGAGAAAAUUCGGCUCGGUCGCACCCACAGAAGCCCAAUUUUCACUGUUUAGGGCCGAUUUUGGCGCCGCCGGACCCAGGCCGAACCCGGCGCACUGGGGGGCAUCCAGGGGCAACGGGGAAAACGUUUUUUGGUGUGAAAAGGAGUGGGUCCUCAGAGUUAGUGAAUCGCCGCCUUCCUCGUCCUCAUCGCCUCGGUUCCCACGGGAAUCAAUGCCAAGGCCGCCACGCCGGUCAGUCUUCAAUUGAUGCCUCACGGGCAGCGCAGUGAAGGCGUGGCGACACGCGUCCCCUCCCGCCACGCGGCACAUGGUGGCAGCUCUCCCACCGCCCAUCUGCAGCUAUAAGCCGUCUUCCCUCGCCGGUGAACGCACAAACUCUCGCCACCGACACCCUUCUCUCUACCUCUCGCCGCCGAUGCCUCUCUCACCCACUCUCUCCCACGCCAAUGUCAAUGGUCGAGCGCUUCCCAGGCGACGACGGAGUGGCGAACGGCUUCGGUCGCCGCCAUCUGCAUGAGGUUGAGGCGCGCCUCCUCUACGAGGCCGACUACCCGGUGCCCCUGAACAUGCGGGUGUCGGGCACCUGGAGGCUCGGCGCUGGCGGUGUCCCGGUGCCGCCUGCGCCAACCGGAGUGGCCCGGCGAGCCGAAAUCCGGUUAUCGCUGCCGGAGCCACAACGGAAUCAGCCGAGGUACGACCCCGACGAGCAACACGCUGUGGACGGCGUACUUCGAGCGGUGCCACGAGGAGCAGAUUGUCGCCACCAGCGGCGUCGAGCCCCGCGGCCGCCACAACUCCGAGGGGAGGCGCCGAUGGUGGGGCGUCCCAGGCCGAACCCUUGAGGCCGUCCUUGAGCACAUUGAGGCCUGGGGUACCCGGCGCCCCCUCCUUCUCUCGUCGCCGCGACAGCUCCUGGAUGCCACGGCGAAUGGAGACGGCGACAUCAUCGUCGUCGGGCUCUAGCUCUCUGUCCUCCAGCUCGCCGGCACUUCGCCCCGUCAAGCCGGAGCUGCAGGAGACGCCACUAGGGCGCCGCAUACGCGGCGGCGCCCUUGUCAUCAACGAGGGCGGCCGCCCCUCUCCUUCCUACGAAGACCGAUCCAGGUUUGCUCCCCGUGAAGAAGGAGCACGAGGCCAUGCCCGCCGCCUAUGAGACCGCCCUCAAGUGGGUGAAGGCGGACUACGUCCGCGAGCAGAUGGAGCGCCAGCGCCGGGCGAUCGUAGAGAUCGCCGCUCGGCGCCGCGGACGCGCGGAGGGUGGCGUGGUCGUCCUCGACAGCGACGACGAGGAUGCGCCUGGGCCAUCCAACCCCCCGCGCAUCGGCGACGCUGGUCAGGGGUGCAGCAGAGACGGUGACGACAGCGACUACACCUGGUUCUACAGGCUCCUCGGCAUGUAGAUGGCGGGAGGCAGCAGUGGCUGGGCGUAGUCGUUUUUAAUUUGUGUUUUUAGUUUUUUAUACAAAUAUCAAUGAAAAUCGUCUAGUUUGGACGAAAUUGUGUCUUGUUUGGCCAAUUUUAUAUUUCAAAAAAUGGCAUCUGGGGCAACCUGGGUGCGGCGGCUGGGAAACCCAGUCACCCCCACGACGAAAUUAUUGCGUUUUUUUUUUUUUGAGUCCUGGGCCGAACCGGAGAUGCUCUUACGGUCAUACCCAUGUUCGGCCCAUUAUACCUGGACUAGGCCGGGCCGGCGUUAUCCGAGAGUUCUGAAGGCGCGCUGCUCAUCCGAGAGCUGGAAGAAUCGGCGGCGCACAUGGAGGCGCAGCCGCGGGAGAUCUUCCUCGGCGCCGGCGGCCACUGCUUCCUCGUCCUCGUCCUCGUCGCUCACGUAAUACACCCAAACCCUACCUCGUCCCGUUUCUCUUCACCUGCGGAUGUUGCAUCAGAUCCGCCUACAUCUGCAAGUAGGGAUUAAGGCAUAGAUGGAUUCUUUCUGCUUAGUCUCGAAGAAGAAAAGCAAUCCAGAUUGAGACUUUCCCACUUUAGAUCUCCAACAUUGCAGAUAAUAAUAGAGGGUGUCGGUCACCGAUUCUCAAUUUGCUCUGAAAUUCGUAUGUGCUCUGCUUUUAUUUUUCUGUCAGCAUGGACACUUGCCAGAUACAUUAUUUGAUUGAGAAAUACUAGGCGAUUGUGGUGUGUAAUCUGUAUGAACAAAGAUCUACAAGAAACUUAAACAAGCCGUCUAUCUAGCGCGUAUUAUAUACAUAUAACUUCCCCAUAUAAUUUAUAUUCAGUUUUUUCAUCAUUGUUGAUCUUAUUCUGAACUUCUCAGGAGCGACAACUCAAUGCGAUUAGUACCUUUGUUCAGUUCAGUGUAUGAUGGGAACAUAGUUUGGCGUUGAUGUCCUAACGACACGCAUCACUCAUGUUUUUUAGAAUCUUGGUAGCUCAUCUUGGUAACUCAUGUUCUUUUUUAUACAGUUAUACCUUGUUUCGCAAGCCUAACCUUUUUCUUAAAUUUGCUUUGUUGAACAGGGAGAGACCCAUCAUGCAAAUAAUGGCCAACAGGACAUGUUCUGCUUCUGCCUCCUCACUCUUUGCUUCAUCUCGGCCACAAGGAUGGGCAGAGCUCCCGGACGACCUGCUCCGACCCAUUGUCGCUCUACUACGCUCGUUCCGCGACCUCCUCGCCUUCGGUACCACUUGUCGUCAUUGGUGUGAUCUCUUCUCAGCACGCAGGUCCUCUCUCCAGCCUCUGCUCCUCCACCCCAAUCUCCGUACCGACGGUGGACAGACUCUCUCGCAUAACUGUUGGACCUUAUUCCACAAAGGCGCAUGGAGAUUGGCUGACCCUGCUGCCACCUCAUCCUCUCGCAGUUUUCUUUCCUUGAGUGACCUCAGAAGCAUGACCUUUCUGCGCUACUCCCAUGGUCAGCUCAUCUUCUACGACAACAAUGGGUUCCAUAUUGUUAAUCCGUUCAGUGGCACUAAGGUUGGUCCUCCUUCCCUCCAGUCAGUUCACUUCACUUGCAUCAGCUAUGUCACCUUAACUGCCCCUGUUGCAUCCACUGAUUCGCAUCUCCUUGUCGGUGCUGGAGCCUAUCUGUUCCUGUGGCGCAUCGGGAGCGACUCUUGGACAAAACACAGUCCUAAAGUUGUUCGUUUUUCCAUUGAACAAAAUGUGGCCUUCAAGGGCAAGACAUAUGCCCUAGGGUCUUUCGGGUGGUUCUACAUCAUUCACUUGUCACCCAGUCUCAUUGUUGAGAAGUUUAAAGUUGUGUUCGAGGAAGAUAAAACCGAAGAUCUCUAUUCGGCAAAUGAAAAAGCAUGGCUACUGGUGUGUGGUGACACGCUUCUCUUGAUCAAACUUGUGGAGGCGGGAAGACGGAUGCGCUCGGAGGCCUUCCAGUUCAUGCCCUUCAAGCUUGAGUCAUUGGACACCAUGACCAAGAAGGCAAGGUGGGUGAAAGUGAACAAGUUAGAUAACUGGGCCAUCUUUAUCAGCAUUGACGAGCGGUGCAAGGCGUUGCCGUGCAUGAACCCAGAGGGAUGGGGAGGAAGGAGCAACCACAUAUACUUCCCAAGUUAUCAGUCUGAAAAACCUUGGGCUGCAGUCCAACUAUGGGAAAAAUGUUAUUACCGUUCGACACAGCUCUUCAACACUGGAAGACGGUACCUGAAAUUGGAGUCAACCUGGGUCUUCCCCGCGCGUUUCCUUGUUACGUCCUGCGAUGAUCUUACGGCCGUGAGUGCGGUUGAUGAUUAGCUUCUGAUACAGCUUUGGUGGGAGGAUUCUACUAUGUUGCAGUAGCAAGAUGAGUAGUUCACUGAAUGUUCUUGACGUGUUUCAAAACUUGCAUUACAAACAGAAGUGUAGAUUAAGUUAUCAGAUUAUGUACUUUCCUCUCUUUUUCUGUGGCAAUUACAAGGGAGUUUCUUACAGAUUGUGGAGUUUUCUUGUACCUGGGCACUUGAUAACAUGGGCUAGGCCUGUAACUUCCCUUUAAUACAUAGAUAGCUAAGAGUAAUUGUACUAUGAUUGUUGAUUAUUCACGUGAUGUGCUUGAGCAUAUGACAGUCUUAUUGGGUGGAAAUGUGAAUCUUGAGAACAUAGCUUGGGCAGAGCUACCAUUUUUUAACUGAACAUUGUACGCAUUUUGGGCUGGAGAUUUGCAAGGUCACCAAGAAUUAGAGUGAGGAUGCAAGUCCAUAGCAUCAGGUUAAUAUAGACUGCAAGUUCAGCCAACAAACAUAUAACCAGCAUAUAUGCAUUCAGCACAAAUUUUAUAUUUCACACCAACAAAAACUAGGCAGACAGAGUGUUCGACAACCAAAAAGCUCUGCAUUUGCACGUAGCUUCAGCAAACAGCUCUGCGUGCAUUUGAUUAUCUCUGUUUAGAAGAAGAUCAAGCUACAAAUAGAUGUAUGGACCAAACAAAGCACAUAACUAAAAUAAAGCCCAGGCACAUAUCUGACAUGGUGCACACAAAAAAUGCUGAAGACCCAAGGAGCUAGUAUUGAUUCAGGAUGCAAACCCUUAUCUUUUGUAUGCAAAAGAGGAGUAAUUAACAAAGUUCAGUGAAAACAGCAACAUGUAGCACAAGUUUUGCCUCCAGGAAUGUACACUGGGUGGCAAACAGAGAUUAUUACAAAUCUUGAUGUACUCCGUCAAAGGAGCUGAAACUAGAAGGAACAUAGCGACAAAAAGUCCCCAAGUGCAGCCAACGACAACAAGACAACUGCGCGCUGCAAUGACACGAUCUCAUACCCAAGCUGCAAAGGAUGUAGGAUUGCGAGCAAGAUAAGCAUUGAUCGUCGCAAAACAAGGUUCUGGCUCCAACUCCUCAUUUUGGUUGCCAUCUACUGGGUAUGAAAAUACCCGAGCAUUUUCAUCCAACUGAUAGACAAGGCCACCCCUUAAACCCAUUCUCUCUGGAUUCACUAAGAGUCGUGGCUGUCUAUUACGUUUCUCGCCAAAGAAGAACGCCCACUUCUUCAAGCCUUCCUCUUCCACGAUCACAUACUUUGCAGGUUCAGUUGAGAAGUCAAUGGAGAAGGCUUCCCCGUUACGACCAAGUAGGAGAAGUGUGUCUUCACAAGCCACCAAAUUUCCGGAAAGCACGUACGGGUCCAUAUAAUCUCUGCAAUCAACUCUUAGUACCUCAACAUGAAACUGAGGUGCCAAAUGCACGGUGUAUAGUUUUUGACGCAUCCUCAUAAUGACCCGGCCUUUGAAGGACACCAUCUCCUUGAUCAAAUGUGCAUUUAGAAAAUCGCAGUGCAACCAAGAGGGGCUCCCAACUCGCCAAGCGUACAGGCAGUGCGGGCUGCUGACAAAUAGAUAUGAAUCUGGUGACGCCUUUGGAGAUAUGAAGGUUUUGUAGCAUAGUUGACUCAAUGGGAAAGGUGGAGCUGCAACUGUAGUGCCAUUGAGCACGUCCAUAAUGACAAGGGAUCUCUCGUAGCAGAAAAUCGCAUGACCAUAAGAACAUUUGACGACUGUCAUUUUGUCCAAAAUACUUGGAGGGGUCAAGCGACACAACGGAGUACUUGGAUAUACAGGAUCAAUGAGCUCCCAUGUGUUUCCAAUGUUAGAGCCAGCUGAGCUUGUCUGGUCGGCACAGUUCCGGAAAAUAACAGGUGGGAAGAGCUCUUCUAAGGUAGAAUUGAUUGACAUGAAUGCGGCAUACCAGCUAGGGCAGGUGGCGAUGAAUGCAAGAAGGUCACGGGUUGAACCCAACAGGACAAUGAUGGAGUGCAAUAAUCCGUGUGGUAGGUCCGCCCAGCCUUCGGGUCCAAACAUGACACGGUGCACGGAGAUGGGGGUGUUGGAGCUCCGGUUGAUGUUUUGCAUGAUAUCAGCUUCAAAUUCUGCAUUAAGGAUCAUGAAAGGACAACAAUUUUAGCAAUGGACUUGAGUUAACUAUAUAAUAUAAAUUGCUAUCACUAUUUUAAUUAAAUUGGUACUACUACAGCUAUGAUAAUUAUACAAACACAAUAAAAAUGUUUGUAGAAACUAUAAACAUAAUACAUAGUAGAGCAAAGACUACAGUAUUGCCAUCGAAAUGUGCAUCUGCCUCAAGAAAAUUUGAUCAUGAUAAAAUUCAUCAACAUUUGAAAAGAAAAGGCAAGUUCUGUAUUUUUCUUUCCACCGAAUGUUAUUUAUAUAUGUUGCGCAACAGGUUUGGCUCUUGUCUCCACCUCGAUUCUGGGCCCACAGAUACGCGAUAAAUUUCAUCAACAUUUGAAAUUAAAAAGUGCAAGCAAUAUUGAAAUUCUAAGAUUGUUCUACACUGAUAGUGGUAAACCCUUGAACUAUUUCAUAUGUUCAUAUAGCAUAAACACAACAGGAUCGCACAUCCACCAACAACACAUACACUCAGAUCCCCAAAUCAUCCAUGGCAGAGUCAGGCUAACAAGAACAAAAGUGCGAUGAGCGCGUCAGAGGAGGUCGCCCCCAAUGGGGGUGAUGGCGGGCCAAGGAAGAUGAUCCUGGGCAGCCUUGCACGGUGGAGAACUCUGUCUGACCAUGGACCGUGGCACCGGACAGCGAAUAUAUAUACUCGGCCAACCCACGAGACCAUGUCCUACACAGAAAUUGACUUAACCUAGAUCACAUCGUAUACUACAUAUUUGGACUCAAGCUUGACUCAAACACGUGAACUCCUACUAGUACAUGUACAUGACUUUGGUUAGUCCCCAAAGAAAUAAAGCCACGUGACAUGCAAAGCACCAACUACAUCAUGUUCCAAACAAAACAAUCAAGAUUAUGCUAACACUAGCGUCGGCCCAUGCACAACCAAUGGCUAUCAUGGGUUCCCAACUCCAGCAGGAGGUGGGAAAGGUCUCGUCCACGAUACCGGCAAUCACUCCAAAGUUACUUGUAUGUACAACUCAGAGCAAGGGGGUAGAACUCGACAUCAACUUGGUUCCUUCCCUUGCCAGGGGCUAAACCCGGAGGGCGGAGGUGAUUCAAGGCCAGGCCUCCUCCAUGAGUCCAGCAGCCAGCAAGGAAAAUGAAGUGGGCGAAGUCAACCUCAACAAGGCUCCUCCCCUACCCCUGGAGCCAGUAACACGAAAGCCAAGCACCACAAAGGUAAGAAUAGCCUCAAGGCUAAGCCAGGGAAGUAAGUUGAUCAAUCCCUGGUGAACACCGAGGCGGUGUUGGGUAAAUGCAUGGGACGUGACAGUGAGUCUGGUAGUGAGUUUGUGGCGACACGCAGUUAGAAGGGUCCUGGUCUGAACAAGAAGGCAUGAGGUGAGGGUAAUGGAGGUGGCAUGAGCAACAUAGGUGUGUUAGGCGGUAAGGAAGCUAUCGGCCCAUUGGUUGCCGAUGAAUGACAUGUGAUAAGGAAGCACCUAUCAGGAGAAAUGAGUCGCCUGAUCUAGAACUAUUGGGGCCUCGGACAGUCUUGGAUAGUUGAAGAGCUAGUUUGCCUCGUGCACGCAUAUACCACUUGAUGAUCGUUUUACUUUCUGAAACUCAGCAAUAUGAAAAGAGUUUCAAUAAUGUUAGGUGGAUGCUAAGCCGCCAGCAUUGUAUUGUGCAUGAUGGUAAGGGCAAGGGUGCGCUGCGUUGUUCUGAGAUAAAUGAACUAAAAUAAAAAGACUGCCAUAUGACCUGAGGUACAUCAAUGUCUUAAUUCAUGAUGAUUCCCGUGGCCUGAAGUGUCAGGCUACAUGGUGAACCUAAGGAGUAAGGAAGACGUCACAUCUGGAGUUUACUCAAAAGAAUAGAGCCAGAUGCUCAUGAACACUUGUUGAUGAUAGGUGAUUUUUAUGAGACGAUGUGGCAGCGUGAGCACUUCUCAGUAGCUUGGAUAUUCGAGAGAAAAAUACCAAGUUCAGAGAAGCCUUGUUCUAGUGUGAUCUUCAUAAUUAGGGCUAUAAGGGGCCUUCCUGGACAUACGAUAAUAAACAGUAUGGCAAGAGCAAUGUGACCGUCGGGUUGAAAGUGCAGUUGCAUCGUCGGGUUGGUGUGAUUUAUUCAGAGUGAACAAUGGUACACACAUAUUCUCCAACCACUUUCCUCUAUGGCUGCAAUACGGAGACAGACCAAGGUGCAUAGCAACGUGAAAUCCUUUCGGUAUGAGUAGAUAUGGGAAAGAUUAUCGUCGCCGGAGGAAACUACUGAAAUCCCUGGCCGAUGACUGCACUAAGCUGGGAGUGCUGCAACAGGAUGUUUGGUCCUGGACAUGAAAGAUUUUGGGUCCAUGAUAAGCAGUACUCACUGGCUGAGAAGGAAUAUUAUAGUCACAUACUGAAUGCACUAUCUUAUUGGUUGCGGAUGGUUGGGAAAGCAUCUUAAGAAAGCAGGUCUUGGAAGGGAGGUUAAUGCCUAUCAAAAUUGUUGAGGGAGCCUAGGUGUCUCUAAACUAAUGUUUGUUGAUGGCAGCCUUUUGUUCUUCAAGGCCGUAUGAAGAGAGGUGAGGGUAGUGAAGGACACUCCAAAUAUAUUUCAAAGGUGUACAUGAUAGCUUCUUAGCCCGGAUAAAUGCUCUUUAUUAUUUAGUCAACACUGCUCGCCCCAUGUCCAAUAAGAGAUAAAGGUCACCCUUGGUGUUGUGGCUUCCACUUUUGAGAGUAAAUAUUUGGGUUUACCAACCCCAGAAGGUAGGAUAUUUGCCUCGAAUUUUAGUCAAUCAUGGAAAGGUUCACAAAAAUGUGCAAGGACUGGAUUGAAAAGUAUAUGACCCAUGCAGCUAAAGGGGUCUUGAUCAAGUAAGUGGUUCAAGUGCUUCCCAAUUACUUAUUUGGAUUGUUCAAAUGUCCACGGGCUUUUGUGAUAAGUAUGAAAAUUUUAUCUGGGACUUUAGGUGGGGCGAUGAGUAAGGACAUCACAAGUCAAUUGGCUCUCCUGGUACCAACUUAUAAAACAAAAGAGAGGAGGUGUUCUAGGAUUCUGGGAUAUGCAUAUGUUUAACCAAGCUCUCCUGGCAAGGCAAGGGUGGAGACUGAUUCACAAGCCGGAUAGUUUAUGUUCCAGAGUAUUGAAAUCAUAAUUAUCGUUGUGGGAUAUUCUGGACAUGGUCAUUUCCUCGUAUGCAUCCCCCGCUUGGAGUUAAGAUACUCAAGGAAGGCAUCAUCUGGCAUAUAGUGAAUGGACGAAAAAUUCAGAUUCAGAGAGACAACUGGAUUCUGAGACAGUAUGGCCUCAGGUUGCCAAAUUCGCUAGAAACUCAAGGUUGAGGUGGAUUAACCAGUUGGUUCUCUCGAUAAAAAAAUAAAUGUAAUAUUAACCUUGUCCACAGGCUAUUUUCUGAUUUUGAUGUAGAGGAGAUAUUUGGCAUAAAUCACCCUUCUAUGUGAUGGAUGACGUGCUUAUAAACUUGCCACCCAACUCAAAUCCAGGUACAACUCCCCUGCUUCUAGCUCUUCAAGUGCGACAUAUAAUUGGAGUAUUUGGGAUGUGAUUUGGAGAGCUAAGGUUCCAGAGAAGGUUAAGGUCUUUGGCUGGAGGUUGCUACUGGCUCACUAGCUACACAAUUGUGUAAAUUUAUAAAGGCGCUGAGUGUAACACCAUUUGUGCUAUUUCUGGUAACUAUGUGGAGCAUGAAUUCCAAUCUCCACAGUGGCUUUGGGAUGUUGGCUAGUGUCCCAUCAAUACUUCUUUUUUUGAGGGAAUUGGUGUCCCGUCAAUACUUAAUGCCCCUCUGUCUAAUGAUUUCAAUCAGUCUAUGGUAAUAUACAAGUCUAGUGUUUUCCCUCAAUUAAGUAAAAUAAACACAACUCAGAGAUCAACUAAUUUUUACCUUAAUUUUUCUAGAAAAAAAUAGGGCGAGUUCUUCCCCUACCUUCUUCGAUGUUGAUAGCGGAGGGCGAAGUGGAGGCAACAACUACCUUCUCCGAUGCCAAUCGUGGUAAGACGUGGCCAUCGGAGACAGUAUGCUGCUUUCCUUCAUCGCCAAUCAUCAUGUUGGCUCCAGAUCUAGGAAAAAUGGCUUGUCGCCCACCCCUAGGACUCCAGAUCUGGAUGUAGUUGGUCGCCCAACUGCGACGACUCCAAAUCUGGAUGUGGUUGGUCGCCCACACCUAGGACUUCAGAUGUGGAUGGAAACACAGUAGGAGCCCACGCGGUUGUCUCAACGCAUCAUCCACCGCUCAAUAGUGGGCGGUUCAAGCGCAGUCGGCGUGGAUGUCGAGGGGAAGGGGGAACAUCUGUGAUGAGAGAGAGAGCGUGGGGGGGGAGAGAGAGAAAGAGAGGAGGGGAGGAGAGUGGCGUGUGGGUUUGUUCGUUAUAGAAAAGCUUUACCUGUAGAUUAUUAUGUGAGCCUGCAUACCACAACAAGACCUCCCGUCCUCACAUUUAAAUUGCCCCGCCCUCUCCCACGUGGUGGGCCCACUUCUCACCCUACCGCUCCCAAAAAAGCGUGUAGGAUGAGAGUUGUGCGUGUUGGUCAGUUUGCUUGCUGGAGCGAGCAAACGCCAGGGAGUCAAUGUGAGGUGCUCCCAGCAAGGAGACGAAAGACAUCAUGCAACAUGCUCCGACCGACCUUGAUUCCUACAUACAAAUAGUGAACCAUCAGAUGCCAAUGACCUUGCCUCACUGACCAGACACCAGCGGCUCCACUCCUAGACACAGGAUGUCGGUGUGAGGUACUCGUUGUUCUCCUAGAAUUCUUGUAGUUGUCCGCCCAUAUUUUUAUUCAUGUUUCUCCCUGUCAACCAAGACCCCUCUACUGAAUUUCCCUUUGGCUUGAGAAUGACAGUUGUGACCUCCAUAACAAUGCAACACUCGUCACCCGACCUCUCCUCUUUGUCCUAUGUGUCAUCCUUGCCGAUGAUAGCAAAGUGGACGAUGCCAAUGACGGUGAUAUCCGCUCUAUGCCAAGGAUAGGCACCGCAUGCGAGGGAAUAUCGGUGAUCCGACACCCAUGACACAAUCCAUAAGGAUGUGUCUUCUUUCCAUCGAAACCUUCUCUCCCAGCCGAAGAUGACACCCCUCCUCGAUCUUCUCGUCGGCAUCCACAGAAGGAACUAUCCUAAUGGUCUAUCGAGACUGAGGACACCCGAGCACCAUUCAGAUAUGCCGCCAAGAAAGGUGAUGGAGAAGCACGUUGACCAUUGCACGUGCAAGGUAGGGGGAACCCAGUUAGUAAACUGUAAUAAUGAGUUGUAGUGUGCAUCACAAUUAUUGCAUAAACACUCUUUGAUUAAUUAUAAAAAAGAGGAUAAUUCAAAACCUCAUAUAAAAUGUUAUAAAACACACUCAAAUAAUCAAUGCACUGGUAUAAUCCCGCUAAAAAAUACUGAAAUAUUUACCAUAGUUUCCUUAGGGGGUGGCCCUCUCAUUUAACUAGGCAGACAAACCCAAGAAGGAAACACUCAUGAGAGAUAUAAUCAUUUUCUAGUGAAAAAAAUAGUGUUACCAACUAAAGAAAGAACAAGCAUGCAUGUAGAACACAUGAGCAAUGAUGUACAUCUGAUUCUUUUUGAAAGAUAUACGAAGGGGCACAGAUAUCGACAUAGAAUAUGGAGUGAGUGGAUUAAAGUUGAGUGGUAGUAGAAUCAAUAUUUGUGACAUCGCACCUUUCAAAGGUUCCAAAUAGUCACCGGCUUCGUUAGUAACAAGUGUAUCUGAAUUAUCAUCUAGAAACACCAAAAGUUAUCCGAAGAUUCGUUUUCUGGUGGUAUAACAGUGUCGGGUUCAUUGAGAGAUACCGAAUCAUGUUCAUCUAGAGCGUUCGCAUCCUCCUGCGACAUGCUGACAUCUAGGUUUUGCGGGACGAAGCGGGACGCCGGGCUAGAACUUAACCCCAGGAACACGAGACCAUGCCGUGAAACUCGAAUAUUGUCUACCGAAGGCUGCAACAGUCAGCUUGAGCCUUGAGGCCACACCGAGGAAUGUUCUUCUUUCUGGGGCUGAAGAUCCUCGCUCUGCUUGUUUCCGGAAUCAUUGCUUCUCCAUGUUUGAUCGAAAUUAUGUGAGUGUCUCCUCUUUGCUGAGCACUGUCCCUCUUGCUCAUUGGGCCCAAGAGAGACGAUUUGGCACGUACCAUGAUGUGGAGCACGCACGAAAAGAGAUCCACAGGAACGGAGAACGCUAUCUAAGUAAGCUAAGUUGAGCAUCAUUAGCAUCCAGGUCGUUGUAGUAUAGUGGUAAGUAUUCCCGCCUGUCACGCGGGUGACCCGGGUUCGAUCCCCGGCAACAGCGCAUUUUUUUUUGUUUGGCGGCCCACGACAGGCCAGGCCCAUUCUUUUCGGUCGAGGCCGAUCCACUGCGAGCGCCGUAGGCGCCGCGGCGCUUGCACGGUUGCGAAGUAGGCCGGCCCAGCUAUCUUUUUGUUUAGGGUUAGCUACCUGCUGAAAGCAUUUUUUUUUGUUUGGCGGCCCACGACAGGCCAGGCCCAUUCUUUUCGGUCGAGGCCGAUCCACUGCGAGCGCCGUAGGCGCCGCGGCGCUUGCACGGUUGCGAAGUAGGCCGGCCCAGCUAUCUUUUUGUUUAGGGUUAGCUACCUGCUGAAAAACAACAUGUAAAGAAAAAUUAUAAAGUUCAUUGAGGGAGAACAGGGAAUCGAACUCACGAGAACCACGUGACUGAACACGACAUAACCACUGCACCACCGUCAGCUACUUUUUAGCUUUCGUAAAAUAGCCCUCAUUGACCUUUCCUUCAGUAUAAACAUUAAACAUAUACUAUUAUAUACCCACUAUAAAUUAUGUUUGAAUAAAGAAAAUAUAAACGUGAAAACGCAUUCAUAUAAAACAUGAAUUCAAAAGAAAAGUACACAAAAAUAGAAAAAAAAUUGUGAAUUUGAAAAAAAAUCAUCUAAUUAAAAAAAAGUUCAUCAAAUUUGAAAAAAAGUUCACCAAAAUUGAAAAGAGUUCACCGAAAUUGAAAAUUUUCAUUGAAUUUCAAAAAAAGUUCACCAUAUUUGAAAGAAGUUUAUCAAAUUUGAAAAACAAUUCACCAAAAUUGAAAUAGUUCAUCGGAUUUAAGAAAAGUUCACCAUAUUUGAAAAAAGUUCACCGAAAUUUAAAAAAGUGCAUCGACAUUGAGAAAAGUUUAUCUAAUUUCAUAAAAAGUUCAUCAAAUUUGAUAAAUAGUUCAUGAAUUUAUAAAAACCUCAUAAAUUUAGAAAAAGGUACACGAAAUUUAUAAAACGGUACAUUAAAGAAAAAAAGAAUGAGAAAAGAAAAAAGUAUAAACCAAACUGAAUAAGGAAUAUAAGAAGAGAAACGAACUUUUUGUGCACUAGCGUGGUGAUGGCGAGGUGGUUAGUGCGUAGCGGUUGGAUCAGAGAGGUUGAGCGGUCGAACUCUGCUGUGCGAGCACUUUUUGGCGUUUUCGGAAAAUAGAGAAAAAUACUCAAAUCAUUUUCGAAAAAUAGAGAAAAAUACUCGAAUGGGCCGGCCCAGUGAGGGGCGCUGCAGGUGCCAGUUUGCAAAAUACACGUUAAUGGGCGCCUGCAGCGCCAAAUAGGGUUUGCCGCGUCCGAUGGCUCGUGCUCGCCUGGCCCGUCCGGGCCUAUUUAUCGUAUGCAUCCUCGAAAAGUAUCCCGUUCGCUUUAGAGCCCUCCCAACACAUUUUGUGUCGGGCUACAAAUUUGUUGUUGCAAGGGCAAAGCAUGCGCGUGCUUAAGGACUACUAGAAUCUAGUCAUUGCCCAAAUGCUAAUGAUACUGCUGAUUUUGAUAAAAGAAACACUUUGCUUUUGGUCUGUGCGUGCUACUUUUGGUUUGUUGGUUUUGCAGCUAUAUUUGCUAGCUCAAAUUUGGAUGAACCAGCUUUACAUUUGUAGACCAAAUGAGUUAGUGUUAUAUGUUAUAUAUGCGUUCAUGUUGGUCUUUUUCUCCAACUGAGCCGGCAGAAGUUGCCUGAUUUUUGGAUUUGGCUCAGUUGAUUUAAUUGGGAAGGAAGAAGGAAGCGCAACGGGGCAUGGUGUCCACCUUUGGUGGCACCAGGGCAAGACGUCGGCAAGGCCUCGGCUAGGAACGAGCCAUAGCCGCCGGAGGCGAGUUCAAAGGUUAAUGGUUUGGGCUGCGGGCUCGCAGAGAAAUUCUAGUGGUUUGUCUGUUUAGAGGGAUGGCUAGGGUGGCACCAACACGAUGGUGAGGAGAAAGGGUGGCGGAGGCAGGCGGUUCAACCGAUGGUCAUGGACAGGUUGAGCAAGAAGGUGAAUAGGGGAGGACAGUAGGUGGAAGAAGGCCAUCUGGUCAUUGGCUGCUCAUCGGGCGGUUCAAAAAAAUCAAUCCAUCCAAAUCUUUUUUUAAUCGCCCGCCCUCUAGCAAUCCACUUUUUCCUCAUGGGUAACUGUGUCAAGAUGAUGUUUAGACCCCAAUAAGGGUUGGACUAUAUAUUUGUUUGUUUUGUUCUUCGAGUUGCAUAUAUAGAACAGAAAUAGAAUUUAAGCUAUUCUCGUCUUCACUAGAAUCAUUUAUCCAUCCAGAUCUAUGCUCAUGCAUUGUUGUUAAUGUACUUACAUUCUUCUUUCUGCAUGGGCCAUUGUCUACAACUCUUGGUUCCAUCAUCCCUAGUAUCAAUGAUCAUUGUCGAGACUAUACACACCAUUUUCUCGUUGGUCCUUUCUCAUUUCAUUCAUUAGAGCAGCUGUAGCCCUCCGUGUAGGGUCGGCGGCACGAGGAGGGGUUGUCGGUGUCGUUCCUGAUGUCCGAGUCUUCGGACGGGAUUGAUUGUUCACGUGUUAUGAAACUGGUCCUAAUUUGAUAGGUAUUUAAGAGGGAUAUUUUUUUAGAACAAAGGCUCAAGAAGAGCCCGACUUUGAAUUAACAAAGUCAUCAACUGGCCAGGAUUACAAACUCGAAACCAACACAAGAAAGAUAAGAAAAUGGCAAGAUACAAAGGCGCUGGAAAGCAGCUCACAAGCCUCAUACACACCAAGCUAAAAAGAUCGACGGGGAGAAACACAGCUCAGAGAUGAAGAGGUCCUCCACGCGACCAGAACGCCAUGGAAGAAGAAGAAUGCCCACACUGGAUCAACAUGUCCAAUGACAAAGAAGGGCACGCCGUCGCCUAAUCACCAACAACCCUGACCCUACACAUCCGCCCAGCUCCAAUGUCAAAGAAGGCCCCUGCCUUCUCUCCUGGCUCGAAAGGCGCCGCACGAUUGACAAGAGGAGCAGUUCACCAUAGAACCUGGAAGAUAGUCGCCGGCAGGCUACAUUUGAAAAGAAAACAAACUCACCCAACAAGUCACGAACACAUCACCAAGAGCAGAGCACCGCCGAAUCCCACGGACUGGUCACAAAAAGGAAGAGUUGCCGGAACGGAAAAAGAUGAGCAACAGCUAGAUCUCUCUAGAAGACAUUGAGAACCGAAGUGCAGGCACCGAAAGAGGGGCUAAUGCUCUCAUGUGCACUGAGAAGGGUCGUCGAAUGAGGGGAACCCGAACCCCUCACACCUAGGAGUAUCCACAGGCCAGACAGGGCACCCCGCAGUAGACCGGAGAGGUCCCGAAAUGAAGGAGUCAUUUAGGAAGUCGCGGUCGUCGAGGGAGAUCAGCUACAGCCGCCGCUGCACACGAAACACAUCUUUGAGAAACCCCACGCCCACCAUGCUCCCAAAACCGGCGCCUUCAGGAAGGACGUGACACCAAGGGCACCGCCGCCGCCCAACAGUGUUGGGGAUUUCUCCCGGGAGGCAAGGAGGGGAAGGGGGUAGAGGAACAGACCCGAGCGGCACCUCCAAGGAGGGGAACGGUGUUGGGGAACGUUGCGUGGGAAACAAAAAAAUUCCUACGCUCACCAAGAUCAACCUAGGAGAUGAACAUCUACGAGAGAAGAGAUUGCAUCUACAUACCCUUGUAGAUUGCUAAGCGGAAGCGUUAAGAAACGCGGUUGAUGUAGUCGAACGUCUGAUGUCUACUACACAACCUUCUUCUUGUAGACGUUGUUGGGCCUCCAAGUGCAGAGGUUUGUAGGACAGUAGCAAAUUUCCCUCAAGUGGAUGACCUAAGGUUUAUCAAUCUGUGGGAGGCGUAGGAUGAAGAUGGUCUCUCUCAAACAACCCUGGAACCAAAUAACAAAGAGUCUCUUGUGUCCCCAACACACCCAAUACAAUGGUAAAUUGUAUAGGUGCACUAGUUCGGCGAAGAGAUGGUGAUACAAGUGCAAUAUGGAUGGUAGAUAUGAGUAUUUGUAAUCUGAAAAUAUAAAGACAGCAAGGUAACAAGUGGCAAAAGUGAGCAUAAACGGUAUUGCAAUGCUAGGACACAAGGCCUAGGCUUCAUACUUUCACUAGUGCAAGUUCUCUCAACAAUAAUAACAUAACUGGAUCAUAUAACUAUCCGUCAACAUGCAACAAAGAGUCACUCCAAAGUUACUAAUAGCGGAGAGCAAACGAAGAGAUUAUUGUAGGGUACGAAACCACCUCAAAGUUAUCCUUUCUGAUCGAUCUAUUCAAGAGUCCGUAGUAAAAUAACACGAAGCUAUUCUUUUUGUUUGAUCUAUCAUAGAGUUCGUACUAGAAUAACACCUUUAGACACAAAUCAACCAAAACCCUAAUGUCACCUAGAUACUCCAAUGUCACCUCAAGUAUCCGUGGGCAUGAUUAUACGAUAUGCAUCACACAAUCUCAGAUUCAUCUAUUCAACCAACACAAAGUACUUCAAAGAGUGCCCCAAAGUUUCUACCAGAGAGUCAAGACGAAAACGUGUGCCAACCCCUAUGCAUAAGUUCAUUGAACCCGCAAGUUGAUCACCAAAACAUACAUCAAGUAGAUCACAUGAAUAUCCCAUUGUCACCACAGAUAAGCACGUCAAGACAUACAUCAAGUGUUCUCAAAUCCUUAAAGACUCAAUCCGACAAGACAACUUUGAUAACCCACAAGUAUAGGGGAUCGCAACGGUUUUCGAGGGUAGAGUAUUCAACCCAAAUUUAUUGAUUCGACACAAGGGGAGCCAAAGAAUAUUCUAAAGUAUUAGCAGUUGAGUUGUCAAUUCUACCACACCUGGAUAACUUAAUAUCUUCAGCAAAGUAGUAUGGAAGUAACAGUAACAGUAGCAAAAGUAACAAUAGCAGUUUUAUAGUAAUUGUAACAGUAGCAGCGGUAAAGUAAAUAAGCAAAGCACAAUAUGUGAAAAGCUCGUAGGCGUUGGAUCAGUGAUGGAUAAUUAUGUCGGAUGUGAUUCCUCAUGUAAUAGUUAUAACAUAGGGUGACACAGAACUAGCUCCAGUUCAUCAAUGUAAUGUAGGCAUGUAUUUCGAAUAUAGUCAUGUGUGCUUAUGGAAAAUAACUUGCAUGACAUCUUUUGUCCUACCCUCCCAUGGCAGCGGAGUCCUAAUGGAAACUAAGGGAUAUUAAGGCCUCCUUUUAAUAGAGUACCGGACGAAAGCAUUAGCACAUAGUGAAUACAUGAACUCCUCAAACUAUGGUCAUCACCGAGAAGUAUCCCGAUUAUUGUCACUUCAGGGUUGUCGGAUCAUAACACAUAAUAGGUGACUAUAGACUUGCAAGAUAGGAUCAAGAACUCACAUAUAUUCAUGAAAACAUAAUAGGUUCAGAUCUGAAAAAUCAUGGCACUCGGGCCCUAGUGACAAGCAUUAAGCAUAGCAAAGUCGUAGCAACAUCAAUCUCAGAACAUAGUGGAUACUAGGGAUCAAACCCUAACAAAACUAACUUGAUUACAUGGUAAAUCUCAUCCAACCCAUGACCGUCCAGCAAGCCUACGAUGGAAUUACUCAUGCACGGCGGUGAGCAUCGUGAAAUUGGUGAUGGAGGAUGGUUGAUGAUGACGACGGCGAUGAAUCCCCCUCUCCGGAGCCCCAAACGGACUCCAGAUCAGCCCUCCCGAGAGAGAUUAGGGCUUGGCGGCGGCUCCAUAUCGUAAAACGCGAUGAAACUUCCUCUCUGAUUCUUUUUCUCCGCGAAAGCAAACAUAUGGAGUUGGAGUUGAGGUCGGUGUACAUCCAGGGGGCCCACGAGGCAGGGGGCGCGCCCUCGGGGAGGGGGCGCGCCCGCACCCUCGUGGACAGGGUGUGGCCCCCCUGACGUUGAUUCUUCCGCUAGUAUUUUUUAUUAAUUCUGAAAAGUUGCUCCGUGGAUUUUCAGGUCAUUUCGAGAGCUUUUAUUUCUGCACAAAAAUAACACCACGGCAGUUCUGCUGGAAACAGCAUUAGUCCUGGUUAGUUCCAUUCAAAUCAUGCAAGUUAGAGUCCAAAACAAGGGCAAAAGUGUUUGGAAAAGUAGAUACGACGGAGACGUAUCAAACUUCAAGGGGAAAACUCAAUUCAUCACAAGAGAGUAGAGGGGAAGAAACAUCAUAAGAUCCAACUAUAAUAGCAAAGCUCGCGGUACGUCAAGAUCGUAUCACCUCAAGAACACGAGAGAGAGAGAUCAAACACAUAGCUACUCGUACAUACCCUCAACCCCGAGGGUGAACUACUCCCUCCUUGUCAUGGAGAGCGCCGGGAUGAUGAAGAUGGCCACCGGUGAGGGAUCCCCCCUCCGGCAGGGUGCCGGAACAGGGUAUCGAUUGGUUUUUGGUGGCUACAGAGGCUUGCGGUGGCGGAACUUCCAAUCUAUUAUGCUCCUCGAUGUUUUUAGGGUAUAUGGACAUAUAUAGGUGAAAGAAGUCGAUCAAGGGAGCCACGAGGGGCCCACGACGGUGGGGGCGCGCCCAGGGGUAGGGCGCGGCCCUGACCCUCGUGGCCACCUCGAAGCUUCCCUGACGUAUACUCCAAGUCUCCUGGAUUGCUUCCGUUCCAAAAAUGACUCUCCCGAAGGUUUCAUUCCGUUUGGACUCCGUUUAAUAUUCCUUUUCUUCGAAACACUGAAAUAGUCAAGAAAACAUCAAUUUGGGCUAGGCCUCCGGUUAGUAGGUUAGUCCCAAAAAUGAUAUAAAAGUGUAGAGUAAAGCCCAUAAACAUCCAAAACGGGUAAUCUAAUAGCAUGGAACAAUCAAAAAUUAUAGAUACGUUGGAGACGUAUCAAGCAUCCCCAAGCUUAAUUCCUACUCGUCCUCGAGUAGGUAAAUGAUAAAACAGAAUUUUAGAUGUGGAAUUCUACCUAGAAUAUUUCCCAAUGUAAUUUUUUUUAUUGUGGCAUGAAUGUUAAGAUCCAAAUGAUUCAAAAUAAAAGUUCAUAUUGACAUAACAAAUAGUAAUACUUCAAGCAUACUAACAAGUAAUCAUGUCUUCUCAAAAUAACAUGGCCAAAGAAAGUUUAUCCCUACAAAAUCAUAUAGUUAGGCUAUGCUUCAUUUUCGUCACACAAAAUACUCCCAUCAUGCACAACCCGGGUUUCAUCCAAGAAAUUGGUUCAUACUUUUUAACGCACUUCAGCCUUUUUCAACUCUCACGCAAUACAUGAGCGUAAGCCAUGGAUAUAGCACUAUGGGUGGAAUAGAAUAUGAUGAUGGAGGUUGUGUGGAGAAGACAAAAAAGGAGAAAGUCUCACAUUGACGAGGCUAAUCAACGGGCUAUGGAGAUGUCCAUCAAUUGAUGUCAAUAUGAGGAGUAGGGAUUGCCAUGCAACAGAUGCACUAGAGCUAUAAAUGUAUGAAAGCUCAAACAAAGAAACUAAGUGGGUGUGCAUCCAACUUGCUUGCUCAUGAAGACCUAGGGCAUUUUGAGGAAGCCCAUCGUUGGAAUAUACAAGCCAAGUUCUAUAAUGAAAAAUUCCCACUAGUAUAUGGAAGUGACAACAUAGGAGACUCUCUAUAUGAAGAACAUGGUGCUACUUUGAAGCACAAGUGUGGAAAAAGAUAGUAACAUUGCCCCCCCCCCCUUUUGGGCCUUUCCUUUUUUUGGCCUUUUUUUCUUUUUUUAUUGGCCUUUUUUUAUUUGGUCUUUCUUUUUUUAUAAGGGGCAAUGCUCUAAUAAUGAUGAUCAUCACACUUCUAUUUACUUACAACUCAUGAAUUACAACUCGAUACUAGAACAAAAUAUGACUCUAUAUGAGUGCCUCCGGCAGUGUACCGGGAUAUGCAAUGAAUCAAGAGUGACAUGUAUGAAAAUUAUGAAGGUGGCUUUGCUACAAAUAAGAUGUCAACUACAUGAUCAUACCAAAGCAAUAUGACAAUGAUGAUGUGUGUCAUGAUAAACAGAACGGUGGAAAGUUGCAUGGCAAUAUAUCUCGGAAUGGCUAUGGAAAUGCCAUAAUAGGUAGGUAUGGUGGCCAUUUUGAGGAAGAUAUAAGGAGGUUUAUGUGUGAUAGAGCAUAUCGUAUCACGGGGUUUGGAUGCACUGGCGAAGUUUGCACCAACUCUCAAGGUGAGAAAGGGCAAUGCACGGUACCAAAGAGGCUAGCAAUGAUGGAAGGGUAAGAGUGCGUAUAAUCCAUUGACUCACAUUACUCAUAAAGAACUCAUAUACUUAUUGCAAAAGUUUUAUUAGCCCUCGAAGCAAAGUACUACUACGCAUGAUCCUAGGGGGGAGGUUGGUAGGAGUUAACCAUCGCGCGCCUCGACCUCCACACAUAAGGACGGCAAUCAAAAGAGCACCCCAUGCAACAAAUUUGUUACACAACUUUUACCAUACGUGCAUGCUACGGGACGUGCCAACUUCAACACAAGUAUUUCUCAAUCUCAUAAUUACCCAACUAGCAUGACUCUAAUAUUACCAUCUUUAUAUCUCAAAACAAUUAUCAAGCAUCAAAUUGAUCAUAGCAUCCAAUUCACUUUCUCUGAUAGUUUUUAUUAUACCCAACUUGGAUGCCCAUCAUUCUAGGACCAAUUUUAUAACCAUAGCAAAUACCAUGUUGUUCUAAAAGACUCUCAAAAUAAUAUAAGUGAAGCAUGAGAGAUUAACAAUUUCUACAAAAUAAAACUGUCGCCGUGCUCUAAAAAUAUAUAAGUGAAGCACUAGAGCAAUAUUGUCUAGCUCAAAAGAUAUAAGUGAAGCACAUAGAGUAUUCUAAUAAACUCCGAAUCAUGUGUGUCUCUCCCAAAAUGUGUGUACAUCAAGGAUUAUUGUGGUAACUAAAAAGCAAAGACUCAUAUCAUACAAGACGCUCCAAGCAAAACACAUAUCAUGUGGUGAAUAAAAAUAUAGCUCCAAGUAAAGUUACCGAUAGACGAAGACGAAAGAGGGGAUGCCAUCUGGGGCAUCCCCAAGCUUAGGCUCUUGGUUGUACUUGAAUAUUACCUUGGGGUGCCUUGGGAAUCCCCAAGCUUAGGCUCUUUCCACUCCUUAUUCCAUAGUCCAUCGAAUCUUUACCCAAAACUUGAAAACUUCACAACACAAAACUCAGCAGAAAACUCGUAAGCUCCGUUAGUAUAAGAAAAUAAUUCACCACUUAGGUAUUGUUGUGAACUCAUUAUAAAUUCAUAUGGGUGUAAUAUCUACUUUAUUACAACUUCUCUAUGGUUCAUACCCUCUGAUACUACUCAUAGAUUCAUCAAAAUAAACAAACAACACAUAGAAAACAGAAUCUGUAAAAAAAUUGAACAGUCUGUAGUAAUCUGUAUCAUUCGAAUACUUCUGUAACUCCAAAAAUUCUACCAAAUUAUGAAAACCUGAGUCAUUUGUGUACCAAUCCAUAUCAAAAAGAAUUAGAUCAAAAUCACGUUUCUGUGAAUUAUCAAAACUAAUUUACUGGUUGCGAAAGUUUCUGAUUUUCAGCAGGAUCAAUACAACUAUCACCCUAAGCUAUCCUAAAGGUCUUACUUGGCACUUUAUUGAAACAAAAGCGAUAAAACAUUAUUACUACAGUAGUAUAAUCAUGUGGACACACAAAAACAGUAAAGGUAAAUAUUGGGUUGUCUCCCAACAAGCGAUUUUCUUUAAUGCCUUUUAGCUACGCAUGAUGGUUUCAAUGAUGCUCGCAUAAAAGAGAGCAUAAUGAAGCAUAUUACUAACACAUUUAAGUCUAACACACUUCCUAUGCAUAGGGAUUUUGUGAGCAAACAACUUAUGGGAACAAUAAUCAACUAGCAUAGGAAGGCAAAACAAGCAUAACUUCAAGAUUUUAAGCACAUAGAGAUGAGACUUGAUAUUAUUGCAAUUCCUACAAGCAUAUGUUCCUCCCUCAUAAUAAUUAUCAGUAGCAUCAUGAAUGAAUUCAACAAUAUAACCAGCACCUAAAGCAUUCUUUUCAUGAUCUACUUGCAUAGAAAUUUUACUACUCUCCACAUAAGCAAAAUCUUCUUAUUCGGAAUAGUGGGAGUAUCAUAAGAGACUCGAAUACUAUAAAUUGUUUCCACAUUAAAAGAGUAGUGUUCAGAAAAAGGGUAAUCAUAAUCAUGACAAGUUUUAUAAAUAUAAUCAUCACUACUUUUUAUAGCAUAAGUUUCAUCACAAUAAUCAUCAUAAGUAGCAACUUUGUUCUCAUCAUAAUCAAUUGAAACCUCUUCCAAAAUAGUGGAUUCACCACUAAAUAACGUCAUGACCUCUCCAAAUCCACUUUCAUAAAUAUCAAAAUAAGAUUCAGCAUUCUCCAAAAUAGUGGGAUCAUUACUUCCUAAAGUUGACACUCUUCCAAACCCACUUUCAACAAUAUAAUCAUCAUAAGUAGGAGGCAUGAUAUCAUCAUAACAACUUUUCAUAUCAAAACUUGGGAGGCUAAAAAUAUCACCUUCAUUAAACUUAGCAUCCCCAAGCUUGGGACAAACAUUAAUUGUAGCAAAUAUAUUUUCAAACAUGUCAUUCUCAUCAAACAUAGCAUCCCCAAGCUUGGGCCUUUUCAUAUCAUAAGCAUAAUCACACUCAUCAUUAAUAAUAUGGAUAGCACCAAUAGUAUAGCAAUUAUCAUCAUCACAAUGAGUAAUAGGAGCAACAUCAUUUGGGAGGGAUAGCUUUCUACCUUUGCUUCUUCGUCUCUUCUUUUUCUUCUUCACAUCAUGUGUGGGUUUAACCCUCUUUUUGGAGCUCCUUAUUAAUGAGAUUGGUUGAAUAGAAAGCUCUUCCUCGUUACUUGAUUCAUCAUAAGAAAUAAUAGGAGGAUAUUGGGAAGUCUCUUCCCUUUCAUUAGUAUUCUCUUCAUCUUCUAUUUGCUUUCUUGUAGAUUGCUGAAUAUGAUAUGUUUGAUUCCAUGCAAUAGUUUUGCGAUAUGAAGAUGGUGAUAUUAGAGUCAUGCUAGUGGGUAGUUGUGGAUUGUAGAAAUACUUGUGUUGAAGUUCAUGAUUCCCGUAGCAUGCACGUAUGGUGAACCGUUAUGUAACGAAGUUGGAGCAUGAGGUAUUUAUUGAUUGUCUUCCUUAUGAGUGGUGGUCGGGGACGAGCGAUGGUCUUUUCCUACCAAUCUAUCCCCCCAGGAGCAUGCGCGUAGUACUUUGUUUCGAUGACUAAUAGAUUUUUGCUAUAAGUAUGUGAGUUCUUUAUGACUUAUGUUGAGUCCAUGGAUUAUAUGCACUCUCACCCUUCCAUCAUUGUUAGCCUCUUCGGUACCGUGCAUUGCCCUUUCUCACCUCGAGAGUUGGUGCAAACUUCGCCGGUGCAUCCAAACCCCGUGAUACGAUACACUCUAUCACACAUAAGCCUCCUUAUAUCUUCCUCAAAACAACCACCAUACCUACCUAUCAUGGCAUUUCCAUAGCUAUUCCGAGAUAUAUUGCCAUGCAGCUUCCAUCAUGAUCAUAUACAUGACUUGAGCAUUCAUUGUCAUAUUACUUUGCAUGAUCGUAAGAUAGCUAUCAUGAUAUUUUCAUGGCUUGCCCGUUUUUUGAUGUCAUUGCUAUGCUAGAUCAUUACACAUCCCGGUACACCGCCGAAGGCAUUCUUAUAGAGUCAUAUCUUUGUUCUAGAUAUCGAGUUGUAAUAUUGAGUAGUAAGUAAAUAUAAGUGUGAUGAUCAUCAUUAUUAGAGCAUUACCCCAUGAAAAAAAGAGAGGCCGAAGAAGCCUAAAUAAAAAGAGGGGGGGCAAAGAAGCCCGCCAAAAAAAGAGAAAAAAAGGGGGCAAUGUUACUAUCCUUUUACCACACUUGUGCUUCAGAGUAGCACCAUGUUCUUCAUAUAGAGAGUCUCCUAUAUUGUCACUUUCAUAUACUAGUGGGAAUUUUCAUUAUAGAACUUGGCUUGUAUAUUCCGAUGAUGAGCUUCCUCAAAUGCUUGAGGUCUUCAUGAGCAAGCAAGUUGGAUGCACACCCACUUAGUUUCCAGUUUGAGCUUUCAUACACGUAUAGCUCUUAGUGCAUCCGUUGCAUGGCAAUCCCUACUCCUCGCAUUGACAUCAAUUGAUGGGCAUCUCCAUAGCCCGUUGAUUAGCCGCGUCUAUGUGAGACUUUCUCCCUUUUUGUCUUCUCCACACAACCUCCACCAUCAUAUUCUAUUCCACCUAUAGUGCUAUGUCCAUGGUUCACGCUCAUGUAUUGCGUGAAAGUUGAAAAGGUUUGAGAAUGUCAAAAGUAUGAAACAAUUGCUUGGCUUGUCAUCGGGGUUGUGCAUGAUUUGAAUAUUUUGUGUGGUGAAGAUGGAGCAUAGCCAGACUAUAUGAUUUUGUAGGGAUAACUUUCUUUGGCCAUGUUAUUUUGAAAAGACAUGAUUGCUUUAUUAGUACGCUUGAAGUAUUAUCAUUUUUUUGUCAAAUGAUAGACUAUUGCUUUGAAUCACUCGUGUCUUAAUAUUCAUGUCAUGAUUAGAUAUAUGAUUAAGAUUAUUCUAGGUAGCAUUCCACAUCAAAAAUUAUCUUUUUAUCAUUUACCUAUUCGAGGAUGAGCAGGAAUUAAGCUUGGGGAUGCUGAUACGUCUCCGUCGUAUCUAUAAUUUUUGAUUGCUCCAUGCCAAUAUUAUUCAACUUUCAUAUACUUUUGGCAACUUUUUAUACUAUUUUUGGGACUAACAUAGUGAUCUAGUGCCCAGUGCAAGUUCCUGUUUGUUGCAUGUUUUAUGUUUCACAGAAAACUAAUAUCAAACGGAGUCCAAACGGGAUAAAAACGUACGGAGAAUAUUUUUAGAAUAUUUGUGAUAUUUGGGAAGAAAAAUCAACGCGAGACGGUACCAGAGGGGGCCACGAGGCAGGGGGCGCGACCUAGGGGGGCGGGCGUACCCCACACCCUCGUGGGCACCCCGUAAGGCGGCUGCUGCUCUUCUUGGGCCGCAAGAAAGCUAAUUUUUAGAAGAAGAAAAAUCUUGGUGAAGGCUUCAGUACAAUCGAAGUUACGAAUCUCCGGAUAUAUAAGAAACGGUGAAAGGGCAGAAUCAAGAACGCAAAAACAGAGAGAGACAGAGAGACAGAUCCAAUCUCGGAGGAGCUCUCGCCCCUCCCAUGCCAUGGAAGCCAAGGACCAGAUGGGAAACCCUUCUCCCAUCUAGGGAGAAGGUCAAGGAAGAAGAAGAAGAAGAAGAAGAAGGGGGGGCUCUCUCCCCCUCGCUUCCGGUGGCGCCGGAACACCGUCGGGGCCAUCAUCAUCACCGUGAUCUACACCGACAACUUCACCGCCUUCAUCACCAACUCUUCCCUCCUCUAUGCAGCGGUGUAAACCCUCUUUUACCCGAUGUAAUCUCUACUUAAACAUGGUGCUCAACGCUAUAUAUUAUUUCCCAAUGAUGUAUGGCUAUCUUAUGAUGUUUGAGUAGAUCCGUUUUGUCCUAUGGGUUAAUUGAUGAUCGUGAUUGGUUUGAAUUGCAUGUUUUAUUGUUGGCGCUAUCCUAUUGUGCCCUGCAUGUCGCGCAAGCGUGAGGAAUUCCCGCAGUAGGGUGUGGCAAUAUGUUCAUGAUUCGCUUAUAGUGGGUUGCUUGAGUGACAGAAGCAUAACCCGAAUAAGGGGGUUCUGGCGUAUGGGAUAAAGGGGACUUGAUGCUUUAAUGCUAUGGUUGGGUUUUACCUUAAUGAUCUUUAGUAGUUGCGGAUGCUUGCUAGAGUUCCAAUCAUAAGUGCAUAUGAUCCAAGAAGAGAAAAUAUGUUAGCUUAUGCCUCUCCCUCAAAAAAAUUGCAAUAGUCAUUACCGGUUUAGUUAUCGAUUGCCUAGGGAUAAAUAACUUUCUCGUGACAAAAAGCUCUCUAUUAAAACUAACUUAGUUGUGUCUUCAUCUAAACAGCCCCUACUUUUUAUUUAUGUGCUCUUUAUUAUCUUGCAAACCUAUCCUAUCAUACCUGCAAAUUCCUUAUAGUUCCUUACUUGUUCUAGGUAAAGCGAACGUCAAGCGUGCGUAGAGUUGUAUCGGUGGUCGAUAGAACUUGAUGGAAUAUUUGUUCUACCUUUAGCUCCUCAUUUGGUUCGACACUCUUAUUUAUCAAAAGAGGCUACAAUUUAUCCCCUAUACUUGUGGGUUAUCACGCCACCAGACCUUUUUGCCCUCCAUGCAGUCACGUUCUAGGGCACCAUGUCCUCCAAGCCCUCCUCGUCCGCGCUUUAGGGCACGACGGAGCGGAUGUGCGCCCUCNNNNNNNNNNNNNNNNNNNNNNNNNNNNNNNNNNNNNNNNNNNNNNNNNNNNNNNNNNNNNNNNNNNNNNNNNNNNNNNNNNNNNNNNNNNNNNNNNNNNNNNNNNNNNNNNNNNNNNNNNNNNNNNNNNNNNNNNNNNNNNNNNNNNNNNNNNNNNNNNNNNNNNNNNNNNNNNNNNNNNNNNNNNNNNNNNNNNNNNNNNNNNNNNNNNNNNNNNNNNNNNNNNNNNNNNNNNNNNNNNNNNNNNNNNNNNNNNNNNNNNNNNNNNNNNNNNNNNNNNNNNNNNNNNNNNNNNNNNNNNNNNNNNNNNNNNNNNNNNNNNNNNNNNNNNNNNNNNNNGAUGGCCUGGAGGUGCAGAUCGCGCUUUCGUCCGUUGGGGAUAUCAUCAUCCCCGAGCUGGAGGAGGCAGACGACUCGGAACCCUGGUGGAACCCGACAGUGGUGGGCCAGUCCUGGUCGUGAACUUCGACCCUGUCGUGCACGUCGGAGUUGGCGUCUGCGCCACACUUGUUGGUUGGCACCGACACAUGAUCACCGCUCCAUGUGCCACCGCCGCCCCUUGUUGUGCAACCGCCGCAGUCGCCACCAGCUCACCUAUGGCAGCCGCCUCCCUUCGUCAACCUCAGCGUAGACGAGGAAUAGGGCAACCAAGACGGUGGUGACGCCAUGCAGUGAAGACGGCGACGACGUCUUGUUCUUUUUUAUAAUAAUUUUGAGUUUAAGUUGAUGCAUGAUGAAUAGUUCGGCCAUGACUUUUGGACGUUAAUGUAAUAUAUAAUUAUCGUUUAGAUUAUUUUUAUCUCCUUUUUUGUUUGAAUUGUAGUUUAAAUCUGAAUGCUUUCACCAAAUGUGACGGCCAGUCGGGUGCGACAACCGGCGGACGACCGCAAAUGGACGCUUGUGGCCACUUUGCCGACCUAAACGGACAGAAUCCGGAUAAAACAAACGUCUGUUUGGGGUCGUCCAACAACUGUUGGAGUAGGCCUUAAAACACACAGCCAUAGAGCAGGUCUUAGAGCAUCUCCAGCCGCGCCCCAACUUGCCCCCCAAGGCCCUUUUUUGUCGCCGGCGGAGAAAAUUCGGCCCAGUCGCACCCACAUAAGCCCAAUUUUCACUGGUUAGGGCCGAUUUUGGCGUCGGUGGACCCAGGCCGAACCCGGCGCACUGGGGGGCGUCCGGGGGCAACGGGGGAAACAUUUUUUUGCGUGAAAAGGAGUGGGUCCUCCAAGUCAGUGAAUCGCCGGCUUCGUCGUCCUCAUCGCUUCGGUUCCCACGGGAAUCAAUGCCAAGGCCGCCACGCCGGUCAGCCUUCCAUUGAUGCCUCACGGGCGGCGCAGUGAAGGCAUGGCGACACGCGUCCCCUCCCGCCACGCGGCACACGGUGGCAGCUCUCCCACCGCCCAUCUGCAGCUAUAAGCCUUCUUCCCUCGCUGGUGAACGCACAAACUCUCGCCACCGACGCCCUUCUCUCUACCUCUCGCCGCCGAUGCCUCUCUCACCCACUCUCUCCCGCGCCAACGUCAAUGGUCGAGCACUUUCCAGGCGACGACGCAGCGGCGAACGGCUUCGGUCGCCGCCAUCUGCAUGAGGUUGAGGCGUGCCUCCUCUACGAGGCCAACUACCCGGUGCCCCCGAACAUGUGGGUGCCGGGCGCCUGGAGGCUCAGUGUUGGCGGCGUCCCGGUGCCGCCUGCGCCAACCGGAGCGGCCCGGCGAGCCAAAAUCCGGUCAUCGCUGCCGGAGCCACAGCGGAAUCAGCCGAGGUACGACCCCGACAGCAACACGAUGUGGACGGCGUACUUCGAGCGGCGCCACGAGGAGCAGAUUGCCGCCACCAACGGCGUCGAGCCCCGCAGCCGCCACAACUCCGAGGGGAGGCGCCGAUGGUGGAGCGUCCCAGGCCGAACCCUCGAGGCUGUCCUUGAGCACAUUGAGGCCUGGGGUACCCGGCGCCCCCUCCUUCUCUCGCCGCCGCGGCAGCUCCUGGAUGCCACGGCGAAUGGAGACGGCGACAUCAUCAUCGUCGGGCUCUGGCUCUCUGUCCUCCAGCUCGCCGGCACUUCGGCCCGUCAAGCCGGAGCUGCAGGAGACGCCACUAGGGCGUCGCGCACGCGACGCCCUUGUCAUCAACGAGGGCGGCCGCCCCUCUCCUUCCUACCGCCUCGUCCGGCCGAAGACCGAGCCAGGUUUGCUCCCCGUGAAGAAGGAGCACGAGGCCAUGCUCGCCGCCUACGAGACCGCCUACAUCUGCAAGUAGGGAUUAAGGCAUAGGUGGAUUCUUUCUGCUUAGUCUCGAAGAAGAAAAGCAAUCCAGAUUGAGAAUUUCCCUCUUUAGAUCUCCAACAUUGCAGAUAAUAAUAGAGGGUGUCGGUCACCGAUUCUCAAUAUGCUCUGAAAUUCAUAUGUGCUCUGCUUUUAUUUUUCUGUCAGCAUGGACACUUACCAGAUACAGUAUUUGUUUGAGAAAUACUAGGCGAUUUUGGUGUGUAAUCUGUAUGAACAAAGAUCUACAAGAAACUUCAACAAGCCGUCUAUCUAGCGCGUAUUAUAUACAUAUAUAACUUCCCCAUAUAAUUUAUAUCCAGUUUUUUCAUCAUUGUUGAUCUUAUUCUGAACUUCUCAGGAGCGACAACUCAAUGCGAUUAGUACCUUUGUUCAGUUCAGUGUAUGAUGGGAACAUAGUGUGGCGUUGAUGUCCUAACGACACGCAUCACUCAUGUUUUUUAGAAUCUUGGUAGUUCAUCUUGGUAACUCCUGUUCCUUUUUAUACAGUUAUACCUUGUUUCGCAUGCCUAACCUUUUUCUUGAAUUUGCUGCGUCGAACAGGGAGAGCGCCAUCGUGCAAAUAAUGGCCAACAGGACAUGUUCUUCUUCUGUCUCCUCACUCUUUGCUUCAUCUCGGCCACAAGGAUGGGCAGAGCUCCCGGACGACCUGCUCCGACCCGUUGUCGCUCUACUACGUUCGUUCCGUGACCUCCUCGCCUUCGGUACCACUUGUCGUCAUUGGUGUGAUCUCCUCUCAGCACACAGGUCCUCUGUCCAGCCUCUGCUCCUCCACCCCAAUCUCCGUACCGACGGUGGACAGGCUCUCUCGCAUAACUGUUGGACCUUAUUCCACAAAUGCACAUGGAGAUUGGGUGACCCUGCUGCCACCUCAUCCUCUCGCAGUUUUCUCUCCUCGAGUGACCUCAGAAGCAUGACCUUUCUGCGCUACUCCUAUGGUCAGCUCAUCUUCUAUGACAACAAUGGGUUCCAUAUUGUUAAUCCAUUCAGUGGCGCUAAGCUUGGCCCUCCUUCCCUACAGUCAAUUCACUUCACUUGCAUCAGCUAUGUCACCUUAACUGCCCCUGUUGCAUCCGCUGAUUCGCAUCUCCUUGUCGGUGCUGGAGCCUAUCUGUUCCUGUGGCGCAUCGGGAGCGACUCUUGGACAAAACACAGCCCUAAAGUUGGUCGUUUUUCGAUUGAACAAAAUGUGACCUUCAAGGGCAAGACAUAUGCCCUAGGGUCUUUCGGGUGGUUCUACAUCAUUCACUUGUCACCCAGUCUCAUUGUUGAGAAGUUUAAAGUUGUGUUCGAGGAAGAUAAAACCGAAGAUCUCUAUUCGGCAAAUGAAAAAGCAUGGCUAGUGGUGUGUGGUGACACGCUUCUCUUGAUCAAACUUGUGGAGGCGGGAAGACGGAUGCGCUCGGAGGCCUUCCAGUUCAUGCCCUUCAAGCUUGAGUCAUUGGACACCAUGACCAAGAAGGCAAGGUGGGUGAAAGUGAACAAGUUAGAUAACUGGGCCAUCUUUAUCAGCGUUGACGAGCGGUGCGAGGCGUUGCCGUGCAUGAACCCGGAGGGAUCGGGAGGAAGGAGCAACCACAUAUACUUCCCAAGUUAUCAGUCUGAAAAACCUUGGGCUGCAGUCCAACUAUGGAAAAAAUGUUAUUACCAUUCGACACAGCUCUUCAACACUGGAAGACGUUACCUGAAAUUGGAGUCAACCUGGGUCUUCCCCGCGCGUUUCCUUGUUACGUCCUGCGAUGAUCUUACGGCCGUGAGUGCGGUUGAUGAUUAGCUUCUGAUACAGCUUUGGUGGGAGGAUUCUACUAUGUUGCAGUAGCAAGAUUAGUUCACUGAAUGUUCUUGACGUGUUUCAAAACUUGCAUUACAAACAGAAGUGUAGAUUAAGUUAUUAGAUUGUGUACUUUCCUCUUUUUUUCUGCGGCAAUUACAAGGGACCCAUAUGUUUUAUUUCUCAUUUAUUACAGAUUGUGGAGUUUUCUUGUACCUGGGAACUUGAUAACAUGGGCUAGGCCUGUAACUUCCCUUUCAUACAUAGAUAAGACAUCAGGUUAAUAUAGACUGCAAGUUCAGCCAACAAACAUAUAAGCAGCAUAUAUGCAUUCAUCAUAAAGUUUAUAGUUUGCACCAACAAAAAUUAGGCAGACCGAGUGUUCGACAACCAAACAGAUCUGCAUUUGAACAUAGCUUCAGCAAACAGCUUUGUGUGCAUUUGAUUGUCUCUGUUUAAAAGGAGAUCAAGCUACAAAUAGAUGUAUGGACCAAACAAAGCACAUAACUAAAAUAAAAGCCCAGGCACAUCUGACAUGGUGCACACAAAAAAUGCUGAAGAGUGAUAUGAAGACUCAAGAAGCUAGUAUUGUUUCAAGAUGCAAACCCUUAUCUCUUGUAUGCAAAACGGGAGUAAUUAACAAGGUUCAGCUAAAACAGCAACAUGUAGCACAAGUUUUGCCUCCAGGAAUGUACACUGGGUGGCAAACAGAGAUUAUUACAAAUCUUUUUUGAAAGGAAUUAUUACAAAUCUUGAUGUACUCCGUCAAAGGAGCGGAAACUAGAAGGAACAUAGCGACAAAAAAGUCCCCAAGUGCAGCCAACGACAACAAGACAACUGCACGGUACAACGACACGUUCUCAUAUCCAAGCUGCAAAGGAUGUAGGAUUGCGAGCAAGAUGAGCAUUGAUCGUUGCAAAACAAGGUUCUGGCUCCAACUCCUCAUGUUGGUUGCCGUCUACUGGGUAUGAAAAUACUCGAGCGUUUUCAUCCAACUGAUAGACAAGGCCACCCCUUAAACCCAUUCUCUCUGGGUUCACUAAGAGUCGUGGCUGUCCAGUACGUUUUUCGCCCAAGAAGAACGCCCACUUCUUCAAGCCUCCCUCUUCCACGAUCACAUACUUUGCAGGUUCAGUUGAGAAGUCAAUGGAGAAGACUUCCCCGUUACGACCAAGUAGGAGAAGUGUGUCUUCACAAGCCACCAAAUUUCCGGAAAGCACGUACGGGUCCAUAUAAUCUCUGCAAUCAAGUCUUAGUAGCUCAACAUGAAUCUGAGGUGUCAAAUGCACGGUGUAUAGUUUUUGACGCAUCCUCAUAAUGACCCGGCCUUUGAAG